CAUACACUUUGUGAGAAGCUUGAUUUGGAUACAUAAAGUGGUGGAGAAUCAUCAGGAUGUUGAAUAAACCUCAUAGGAGUUGGGAUGAAGAAGUUAUCCCACUUUCAAAUCAGGUGAUUCCAGUUUCCCAGUUUGGGAAUAGCACAGCUUCUUCGUCCUUCCAAUCAAACCAGGAUGAAUCUCUUUGUGAGAAGCUUUAUUUCGAUACAUAAAGUGGUGGAGAAUCAUCAGGAUGUUGAAUAAACCUCAUAGGAGUUGGGAUGAAGAAGUUAUCCCACUUUCAAAUCAGGUGAUUCCAGUUUCCCAGUUUGGGAAUAGCACAGCUUCUUCGUCCUUCCAAUCAAACCAGGAUGAAUCUCUUUGUGAGAAGCUUUAUUUCGAUACAUAAAGUGUUGAGAUGAGAGCCUUAUGGUAUGAAGAGGAGACCUUAGGAAGUGUAGAAGCAUUAGAGAGGAAGAUCGAAGCAUCAUGUACGGACUGUACGGAUAGGGUGAAGGGUACGGACGAUCAGGCCGUACCAUCAUGCGCGGUUAAGGAGUUACUCAGCUCAGGUAAAGAGUAAACUAGCUAGAGUUACUUUACCUUAAGGCUGAGCUUGAUCCGAACGUUGAGAGGAUAAGGANNNNNNNNNNNNNNNNNNNNNNNNNNNNNNNNNNNNNNNNNNNNNNNNNNNNNNNNNNNNNNNNNNNNNNNNNNNNNNNNNNNNNNNNNNNNNNNNNNNNNNNNNNNNNNNNNNNNNNNNNNNNNNNNNNNNNNNNNNNNNNNNNNNNNNNNNNNNNNNNNNNNNNNNNNNNNNNNNNNNNNNNNNNNNNNNNNNNNNNNNNNNNNNNNNNNNNNNNNNNNNNNNNNNNNNNNNNNNNNNNNNNNNCCAAGCUCCUGAGAAUCCAUAAAGCUUCCGCAAAUCUGUUACAGUUCAUACUUCUCUUCAAAAAUCUCUGUUUCUGUUCAUCCUUGUAUCCUCUGGUCUAAAGCUUUUCCAGGAGGGAAGAGACUCACCAGAACUCAAGAUAAAGGAGGUCUUUAGUAUCUGAAACUCAAAGCUUCCACAAUUCAAGCAUAGGCUCAUCCUCAUUGUUAUUUCAAAUCAUUGGAGAGUUUCUGUCCAGCCAGCUGUUCAAUCUCUUCAAGAGGAAGAAGACUAAACAUGGCGUGUCCAGAGACUUCCCAAGGUCUAUCAUCCUUUCUCCUGUUCAGCCUGAAGAGAUCUCUUGGAGAAAGAAGGUUUUGGAGCUGUUUGGCAAGCAAUGCUCCAAACCAAGUCUGUACAAGUGAUUUUCAAGUUCUUCCCAAAAUGGAGUCUCUCACUGUGUGCCAGAAGGUGGCGCCUGGUAAUCAGGAAGAAAAGAGGGGUCUUAAGCAUGAGUGGUCUAAAGGGAAGGCACACACAAGGAAAUGGCGUGGGGUAGAGAUCCCAAACUCCAAAUCUGUCAAGUUCAAGUGAACAGUGUGCCUUGGAGGUUCAAGGAACCAGCUCAGGUUCCUUGUUUGUAAGUUAACCUCCUACCUUUAAUAAGAGCUUGAGUAGUUAUGUCUGGUUGUGUUGAGUGGUGUGUUUGGUAUCCUUGGGACAGGUUCAAGUUGCUAGAGUUGUUGAACCUAGUUUAUGUCCCAUGAUACUUAAAUUGUGUGUGUUGCUCUGUUUCUUAAAUUAUUUCUAGGAGUUGUCUAGCAUGGUAUUGUCUAGUUCCUGUCCUAGAUUAAUUGUUUCUGUUUGUAUUGUGCUAGGCGAUUGGUUUAGCUACUGUCAUUGUCUUGUUGCAUUGAUAAAGGUCUAGGAGUGCCUCCUGAUCUUGUAUUGCAUUAUAUAUAUUGUUCAAGAUGAUUAGAUGAGUUGUUUAGUCUCUGUUUAUUGUCUUUAAAAUUCAUAAAAAGAGCCUAAUUGUCUUGUUAUUGAUGGGUUUUCAUACCUGAGCAGUUAGUGAUGUUAGUAUGCAUGGAGUUGAACUGAAUGAGUUGUUUAGAUUCUGUUCAUUGCAUAUUUCUUUUUAAAACAUUGGGAUCAGACUUGGUGAAUUAUCAAGGGCUGAUCCUAGUGUGUGUGGUCUGAUUCUUGCUGGAGUUUGAGUGAUGUUUCAGGUACACAAGAGGUGAUCUCUGUCCAUCAUCAAACUAAGACAAAGAAGAAGGCAUUGCCCACGUUUUUCAGAGCCUCCCAAGAUGGAUAUUCCUGAACCGUGGAGAUUGCCCAGUCCCAAAUCCUAUCUAUGUGUCUGCCCAUUUCCUACCCUGAAGAUAGAAAGGAUAUUGGAGAAUUGGAAAAACUGCUCAGAAGUGACUUACCUGAUGCCAAGAGGAUGUACAGGAGGUGCACUCAAGAGAAAAGGCCAUCACUAAGCCAAGAGUGGCCGGUGGUCAGAGGCAUGGUUCAAGGUGUUUAGUCCUGACCAUGUAAGAUACCUUGUGAGUAGAACCAGUUGGCUUAAGCGCAGGCGUAGGAGCUGUUGUGCUCCUGGUUCAAGAGACUCAUAAGGAAGGUCAUCACCUAAGUCAUGGGGAGACUGGUGGCCCAAAGACAUUAGAGCUGAAGGAAGAUAGUGAACUGGUUGGCUUAAGCGCAGAUGUUGGUAUUGUUGUGCUCCCAGUUUCAAAACUCAUUGAAGCUCACAUUCAAGCUUGUCCCUAUACUCAGCCAAGCUUGAGGAGGGGAAUCAGUGAGCUACCAGAAUAUCCAUGAAGCUCCUAGUGUCUCUUUUCCUCAAAGAAGGCCAGCAACAUCUAUGUGUCAAAAUAGAUGAUCAAGAAGAAGAGGUUGCAUGGCGAUUUAAUAAGGAGGGGCCUAAGUGAUCAGUCUGAAGAAGCUGGCACACCCCACCACUCUGACCAGCUAUAUUCAAGGACUCAAGGAGUAUUCAAUCAGGGACAUUCUUGGCUAAGCAAUCACAUGAUGGUGGCAAAUUAUGGAGUUGCAAAGUGCUGAGCUUCCCUACAUGCUGAAACUUCAAGAGAAAAAUGCAAAGGCUGGUUGAGAGAAGGAAUGGCGUGGAGGAUUCAAGUGCUUAGCAAUCCUCACCAACAUUCAACAAACUGAUGCAAGGGAAGUACCUAAAACCAUUAUUAUUCUUAUGUGUGAAUAGGUUUGCCCCUUGAGAAUUGAUACAUGCAUUUUUUGUAUGAUUGAAUCAGGUACCUAUUGAGCUCAUGAACAAAGACAAGCUUUGUCUCAACCCCUAAAUGGAGGCAAGAAGCCAAAAGAAAGGGGGAGACAAGCUCAGGUCAUAAGAAGAAGCUCAAAGGUGAUUUGUCAGUGAAGCAACUGGCGCCAAUCCAAGUCGUUCAUUGCCUCACCUCUGAUCAAAAUUGGAGUUUGCAAGUGGUGGAUUCACUCUUGCAUUACUCAGUACCAACCGGGUCAAAGAAGCUCAGUUCCAAGUGUGUGAUUGAGCUUCCAUAAUCCGGACUGUGUCUUACCAAGUGUGGAUUCAAUUGGAGUCCACUCCUCACCAUUCUUAUGAAAGGGAAGCACCUUAAACUCAUCUCAAUACAUUCAUGAUUGUCCUUAUACUUUAUAUUAUUGAGUUUGAUGUGAUGAGUGCAUUUCCUUAAGAACUGAUGCAAAUUUAGAAUGAUGUAUCAGGUACCAAAAUAAGCUUGAGCCUCACUGAAGAUGAUGAUGAUGAUCCGGUCGUGUUAAUUCCUCUCUCCCUUCAAAAGGAUUUGUCCUCGAAUCCGAGACUUGUAAGAUGAUAGAAACAUGAUCAUCUCCUGGAUCAAAUACCCACGACUGCAAUCCUUUUCCAUGCUUCAGCGAGCUCUUGGAACUUUGCUCAAUCAUCUCUAAGCCCCUCACGUGCCUUAGUAUGUAGCAAACAAAACUUUCCUUUCCAUUUAACUCAUAACCAGCUGCUUCUGCAAAAGCUUCUCUCCAUUUACUCCAUAAGCACGCCUCAACCAUGGCUGUCUCAGCAUGUGUUCUAUGCUCUCCCGGAUAGAAUGAGAGCAUUAGAUCUCUAAAAACAAGCAGAAACCUUGCUGAUUGAUCUGGUGGCCGAACUAGCUCCUUGUGGCUGCCUAGGAGAAUAUCUAUGAUUUCUCUCAAUACACCUUGCCCAAUGCUCAUUAUAACUUGGUUCUCAUGCUGCAUAGGGUCUGGUGGUCGUGUGUAAUGAUCCCCAUAUUCAUUCUCAAGCUUUGGCAUCUUUUUAACCACAACAAGUUUCUGUUUUGUUGAUCUCAGCUGGUUCUGAUCAGUUAUGGGACUGAUCAAGGGCGUGUUACCUCCGGUUUCUCCUCUAUUUUUACUGCAGAUACUCAAGAUCACACCAUCCUCUCUCCCUUCAAAAAGAUUUGACCUCAAAUCUUGUUUUUCAGGAGUGAAGAAACCUUGCAGAUCAAGCUUGUAUGUAACUGUUUUCUGCACCAGAUUGUUGUUACUUCUUAUACUAACACUGAAGCUUCCUCCUGGUUCAAAAACAACUUGCUGCAGGCCCUUAACAACUCUCAGAUGUUCCACUAAGCUGAGCUGAAGACAUACCAAAGGUCUGAUUAGUAACUCACAAGCUAAAGACUUAAAAUUAUCAUCUUGCUCAACAGUAGGAAGCACCAAUUCAAGAGCUUUAGAUGACCCUCCAGGAACUUUUUCUUCUUGUUUUAUUUGAUCAGGCACGUGGCCACACUCAGCUUCUGCAACUUCUGCCUCCUCCUCGAGUUUUAAACCAAGAGUUGUUGGUUCUAGUUCAGUUUUAUGACUCUCCUCAAUCUGUUUUAUUGGAGAAGCUAAUAUAGAAGCUUGCAGCUUUUCCUCCUCUUGUUUCAAUGAUAGAACAGGAACCACAAAUCUUCUCUCAGCCGAUUUUAAUGUCAAUUCAGACCAAUAGGCAGGCUGAUCUAAAGUAGUAAGCUUCGUUGCUGCUUCUAGUUUUAGUUUUGGAAGUUUCCACUGCGAGACAAACCUCUUCUUCAUCAAGGUCUUCAUCUCCACCCAUGAAAUAAUUUGUGGUUUUUUUCAAAUCUCCUAGUCUGAGAAACUCUCUGCCACCAUGAGAAUGCACUUCCACAGAGUCCAUUGACUGCUAGACAUACCUUUUUCUUUUCAGUGUAGUAUUGGAGUCCAAAGAGAAACUCCAUCUUCUUUUCCCAAUCAAGGUAUGCCUCUGUAUCAAUCUUUCCAUAGAAGAAUGGAAUUGUAAGCUCUUGUUCAUAUCCAGACAUAGAAUACAGCUUGUUCACUGAUAGAUUUCGUGCUCCCUUGUUAAAACUUCAAACCCUAACCCUCAAGAGGCUCUGAUACCACUUGGUGCGGCCCUGGAUAGGCUGUCUAGUCCCUGAAUCACUUGAAGGGGCGUGGGUGAAAGGAUCAAGAGAUUGUAGGUCUCUUGGAUGGCGGAUGGACUUCACCUUCGAGCUAUGGAUUGCUCAGAGGUUGUUUAUGCUACUCCUGAGACACAGGGGCGUCCUGCUUGAUGUCUAGGAUGGAUCACAGAAGAUUAACUCUCCCUUAGUGUGAUAUAAACGUUCACCACUUGUGAACAAAGGAGACAGUGUCGUCUCAAGACUGGUUUGCACCAAAAAGAAGUUUAUUGAUAAAAAGAAUGAUUGAAAGUUACAUGAACGUGGUGCUGCUGUUUAAAAGCAUAAACAGUGUCGUCUCAAGACUGGUUUGCACCAAAAAGAAGUUUAUUCAUAAAAAGAAUGAUUCAAAGUUACAUGGACGUGGUGCUGCUGUUUAAAAGCAUAAAACAUAAAACCCUAAGCCUAAACCAAUGUGGUUUAGGAAAACCAAAACCAAAUCCUAUUGCUAAUUGAUUUAAAACACCAAACCGACUCCUAAUGGGUUUAUAAAGCCCAAAACCUCUUCCUAAUGAGUUUACAUAAAUAAUAAAACCAAAUACACUUAAAAUAGACCAUAAUGGUCGUGCAUAAUCAUAUUGGGCCAAUCAUAAACCAAGCUGGCUUGUCCUUCCACUUUUUGAGCCGAUAAAGGCCUUUUUCGAACAACUCUUUCUUGGGCUCGAUCCAUCUUGUUCCAGGUCCGACCAAGCUGCUCCUUAUGCUCAUUUGGAUGAUAAAGGUCCUCAUCAUGUUCCAGUUCCUGCUCUGGUUCUCAAUCUUCCAUUUCCAACUCAAUUCUCGCAUAUGUCGGUUUGACCAGUCCAUUUCUCGAUCAGACUGAAUCUCCCAUUCCAUUUCCUGUCUAACCAGCUUCAUCCUAUCCAUUUCCUUGUCAAUCAGGGUUGUCACAGGUCGUCCAUGAUUGUUUAAAGUCAGUCCAUGCUUUAUAAAGGCCACAUCAAGGCCCAUAGCCUUUUCUCGGUCCAGUACCUCAUGGAUCAAGCCUUUUAGCUUUCCAUAAAGCUCAUCAGGUCGUGUCAAGAUCCAUUUCCUAGCUCCUUCUCUCCUUGACUUCAUGUUCUUUAGUACGGAGCUGAUCAGGGUCACACCAUCCUCUCUCCCUUCAAAAGGAUUUGUCCUCAAAUCCGAGACUUGUAAGAUGAUAGAAACAUGAUCAUCUCCUGGAUCAAAUACCCAGGACUGCAAUCCUUUUCCACGCUUCAGAGAGCUCUUGGAACCUUGCUCAAUCAUCUCUAAGCCCUUCACGUGCCUUAGUAUGUAGCAAACAAAACUUUCCUUUCCAUUUAACUCAUAACAAGCUGCUGCUGCAAAAGAUUUUCUCCAUUUACUCCAUAAGCACGCCUCAACCAUGGCUGUCUCAGCAUGUGUUCUAUGCUCUCCCGGAUAGAAUGAGAGCAUUAGAUCUCUAAAAACAAGCAGAAACCUUGCUGAUUGAUCUGGUGGCCGAACUAGCUCCUUGUGGCUGCCUAGGAGAAUAUCUAUGAUUUCUCUCAAUACACCUUGCCCAAUGCUCAUUAUAACUUGGUUCUCAUGCUGCAUAGGGUCUGGUGGUCGUGUGUAAUGAUCCCCAUAUUCAUUCUCAAGCUUUGGCAUCUUUUUAACCACAGCAAGUUUCUGUUUUGUUGAUCUCAGCUGGUUCUGAUUAGUUAUGGGACUAAUCAAGGGCGUGUUACCUCUUAUUUCUCCUCUAUUUUUACUGCAGAUACUCAAGAUCACAUCAUUUAUUCAACUUCCUGGUGAAUCUGCACAACUUUAUGUAUCCAAAUGAAUACUCAAGAUCACACCAUCCUCUCUCCCUUCAAAAAGAUUUGACCUCAAAUCUUGUUUUUCAGGAGUGAAGAAACCUUGCAGAUCAAGCUUGUAUGUAACUGUUUUCUGCAUCAGAUUGUUGUUACUUCUUAUACUAACACUGAAGCUUCCUCCUGGUUCAAAAACAAAGUGUUGCAGACCCUUGAAAAACCUCAGAUGCUCCACAAGAUUGAACUGAACACAUACAAAAGGCUGGAUCAGUAAAUCACAAGAAAAAGAUCUAAUGAAUCCACCUUGUUCAAUCAAAGUCUCAAGUAACUCUUUAUGAACUACAAGCGCCUCAUCAAGUUCUUCUUCUUCUUUAACCUUGUUUUGGUCGUGAAUAAGACCACACAAAGCUCCUGGUACGUGCUCCUCUAGCUGUAGUUGAAUGGCUGAAUGUUCUCCUUGAAAAGGAAUGGCCAAUGCUGGUUCAAUCUCUGGUAUCUUCACAGCCGGUUUUGCUGCAAUCUUUUCUUUCUCCUCAACUGGUGCCUUCUGAUAACAAGUUAGCUCAUCAUCUCCUGAUGGUGGACGUGGGACUGGCCUCUGUUGUGGUUUUUUUUUAGUCACAGCAGUGAGUGAUUCAGCUAUCAUGUUCCUUAGGUUUUCUUUGAACUGUGUGCUCUGCAUAUUGUCAAGAUAAUCAAGAUGUGUUUGCAGUAGCUGCGGCUUUCGUUGUGCCUCACGAUCAUAGCAGUUCUGUGGCUCUUCUCUGGAUAACCUAACACGUGCUUGAGAUGAUCUAGAUUGGAUUGGCAACCGUUCCAGAUCAGUUUGACCAUACCUCUUUGCUACAAACCUUUUCUUCAUGACAGACUUCAUCUCAUACCAAGAAGAAAUCUGCAACUCUCCACAGCGUUUCCUGUUGUUAGCAAUCUGAUACCACCAGUCAAACGCAUACCCUCUUAAACCAGUAGUUGCUAGAUGUAACUUCUUCUCCUCAGUGUGGUUGUGGAAGUUAAAAAGGAAAUCCACAUCCUUUUCCCAUUCUGGAUAUGUGUCUGGAUCAAACUCUCCAUAGAACAGUGGAAUUUUGAUCUCUUUUCUUUUUCCUUGCAACAGCUUCCUUGUUGCUGGUUGUUCAGCCUUCUCAUCAUGUUUUCUAUAAGAAUACAUAGAAGAUUGCUGGAUAUAUGAUGAAACACGUGGUCCUUGGUUAAGAUAAUCAAACCCUAAACCUUCAAGAGGCUCUGAUACCACUUGGUGUAGCCUGGAUAGGACUGUAACUCCCUGGAUCUCUUGUAGGUGGGUAAAUGCUUUGAUAAUCCUUGCAAACAGAGAAUCAAAGACUCGAUCUGUAUCAAGGCGUGUGGGUAGAUGAUAGAUGAUGAUGAUGGACUUUGCUAAAGAGCUAUGGAUUGCUCAGAAGCUGUUUUGCUACUCAAAGACACAAGAUCACCUUGUAUUGUCUAAGAUGAGAUUCACAAAGAAUUCCUUCCUUUAAGUGAGAUCAAUGUUCCUUAAGCUGAACAGAGAAAGCAAGAGAUAAAGCAAGCAAAGCUGCUGGAAAAUUCUUAGAUUCAAAAGUUUACAAACAAAAGCGGCGUUCCCUUGUUUCUUAAAGAAAUCGACAGAAAACCCUAGAAGUAAACCAAGAUGGUUUAAUUCUAAUUCUAAUUCUAAUUCUAAUCCUAAACCCACGAAAUUGGUUUAUUUAAAAUCCUAAUUGUCUUUGGUUUAAAUUAAAUGAAAGCCCAAUAACCAAAGCCCUUACAAAGUAAUUAAAUUAAACCAACAAGCUGGUUCUUCUUUGGUUUAUGAUGGGCCACGACUUGAACUUGAUUUGGAGUGUCUCCUAAUGAGCUUUAGAUCCUCCACGUCCUGUUAGGCCAGCUAGAAAGCAAGUGGAUCAAGAUUCUGGCUGCAACUCUCUUUUUGGACCGAAAAAGCCUUAUUUCGCCUAGAUCCAAAUAUAGCCCAACCCAGAAACUUCCUGACAUGUUUUCCUUGUUCUCCAUACAUAUUUGGACGAGGUGAAUGGUCUCCAUAGCUCCUGUUAAGCUCAGUUGGUUGAAUCCUCUUUGUUCAAGUCGUUUCAAGGCAGUACCAACAGUUCUUCUCUUCUCUCUAUCCAGAACGUCAUAGAUCAUGCCAAUAAGAGUAUGAUACUGUCCAUUAAACUGCACCAUGAUCAGUGGUAUAGCUGACCCAUACAUUGGCUUCAAUCCAUUGAUUCCAAUCCUGAUCAGGAUCACACCAUCCCCUCCUCCUUUAAAAGGAUUUGUCCUCAAAUCCAAGCUCUGUAGGAUGAUAGAACCUUGAUAAUUUAACUCCAAAGUUCCUGACCUGGCCAUGAGAUAUAUCAUCACCUCUCUAGUCUCUCCAGGAUGAAACACAAAGCUCUGCAGUCCUUCUUCAUGUCUCAGCAACAUCUUGGAACUUUCCUCACUGCAUAUGACUUCUAAGGCAGAUGAUUUCUCCACUUUGUUGAGUUUGCUGUUAAAUGCUUCUCUCCAGGAUGAUCCUACCCACGUCCUUCUCAUGAACAUGAGACCAUGUACUCUCAGUUUAACAUCCUUCUGGUCAGGUGGUCGUGUGGUUUGGUCCCCAUACUCAUCCUCCAGUUCUGGCUUUUCUUUAACCACCACCAGUUCCUGUUUAUCUCUUCUCAGCUUGUUCUGGUCAGUUAUGAACCUGAUAAAGGACGUGUUACCUCCUGACUCUCCUUCAUUAUCUCUGCAAAUAGUUUUUAUCAUACCAUUCUCUCUCCCUUUAAAAAGAUUUGACCACAAAUCUUGUUUUUCAAGAGUGAAAGAACCUUGGAAAUUGAGCUUGUAUGCUGUUGCUUUCUGAUCCAAAAUUUGUUUAUUUCUUCUAACCACACACAAGCUUCCUCCUGGUUCAAAAACAACUUGUUGCAGGCCCUUAACAACUCUCAGAUGUUCCACUAAGCUGAGCUGAAGACAUACCAAAGGUCUGAUUAGUAACUCACAAGCUAAAGACUUAAAGUUAUCACCUUGCUCAACAGUAGGAAGCACCAAUUCAAGAGCUUUAGAUGACCCUCCAGGAACUUUUUCUUCUUGUUUUAUUUGAUCAGGCACGUGGCCACACUCAGCUUCUGCAACUUCUGCCUCCUCCUCUAGUUUUAAACAAAGAGUUGUUGGUUCUGGUUCAGUUUUAUGACUCUCCUCAAUCUGUUUUAUUGGAGAAGCUAAUAUAGAAGCUUGCAGCUUUUCCUCCUCUUGUUUCAAUGAUAGAACAGGAACCACAGAUCUUCUCUCAGCCGGUUUUAAUGGCAAUUCAGACCAAUAGGCAGGCUGAUCUAAAGUAGUAAGCUUUGUUGCUGCUUCUGGUUUUAGUUUUGGAAGUUUCCACUGCGAGACAAACCUCUUCUUCAUCAAGGUCUUCAUCUCCACCCAUGAAAUAAUUUGUGGUUUUUUUUCAAAUCUCCUAGUCUGAGAAACCCUCUGCCACCAUGAGAAUGCACUUCCACAGAGUCCAUUGACUGCUAGACAUACCUUUUUCUUUUCAGUGUAGUAUAGGAGUCCAAAGAGAAACUCCAUCUUCUUUUCCCAAUCAAGGUAUGCCUCUGUAUCAAUCUUCCCAUAGAAGAAUGGAAUUGUAAGCUCUUCUUCAUAUCCAGACAUAGAAUACAGUUUGUUAACUGAUAGAUUUCGUGCUCCCUUGUUAAAGCUUCAAACCCUAACCCUCAAGAGGCUCUGAUACCACUUGGUGCAGCCCUGGAAUGGCUGUCUCUCCCUGGAUCACUUGAAGGGGCGUGGGUGGAUGAAAGGUGAUGGAUAUGGUCUUCUCCUUAGAACUAUGGGAUGCUAUAAAGAUGUUUUUUUCUGCUCCACAGACACAGGAUCACCCUGCUUAGUGUCUAGGAUGGAUCACGGAGAUAAUCCUUGCAAACAGAGAAUCAAAGACUCGAUCUGUAUCAAGGUUUGUGGAUUGAUGUGGGACACAAGAGAGAUGGCUCGCCUCCUGAUACUCCAAGGCUUCUGAUCUGGAUAUGACACACCAAAUCAGAGAACCCAAGCUGGAUAUUACACACCAGCUGAAUUAGGGAGGGAAAUGAAACAAAAGACUUCAUCUGUUUUGUGCUUUAAAAACAGUUUUAAAAGAUGAAGUUCUUGCUGGUUUUGUCUCAAACAUAAUCAUCCUUUUCUACCCUUUGUCUCUUAAUAUUUUCAAACUUGGUAAAAGACUUUAUGUCUAAUGAAACCAAUGCUUGAGGGAGGGAGAAAGAUUGAUGAUGAUUUGAAGAAAAUUGAUUUGUAAGAGCAUUUGAAUUUCAGAUUUAAAGAAAUGCUCUUUGAAAGGAUUUAAAAAAAAAAAAAAAAAUCUUAAAAUGUUUUGAACAGAUUCUUGAGUAAUCUGAUUUCGAAAAUGCUUUAAAAAUGUGUUAACUGGUGGGAUGUUCAUGCCUCACCAGCAUUGUGAUCAGCCAUGAAGCUUGAAGGCCAUGGACUGCAAUCUGCUUCCGCAAAACUCUCAUUCUCCACCAUACUCUUACUCUCCAUUAUUCUCUAAUAUUCUCUCAUACUUCUGUUACUUAUUCUCAAAUACUCUGGUUACUUAUUCUCUGGUACUUUAUUCUCUCCAUCACUCACUAAUUUUGUGCUUUGAAUCUGUCCAUACUCAACAGGUUCUAAUUUUAAGAAUGGUGAUUGGUGUUUGUGCUUGGUUGUCUCAAGAAGACAAUGCAAGUUCGGUUGAUCUAGAGCAGCAUCAGAAGCAAGCUUUGGGGGUUAGAACCAAUGGCCUCAGAUUCAUGGACCCAAGACAAGAAGAUCUUGAGGAGAAGUGGCUGUAGGAAAGUGAUGAAUCAACUCACCAGCAAGAUGUUAGCUAAGGGUCAGUAGGCUUCAUGUGAAGCAUCAAGAAGAAAGAGGUGUUGCACAAGUUCAAAUCAUGGCGUCAACACCCUAAGCAAUCAGUUCAGAUCAUGGCUCAAGCCAUGAGUCCUUUUGGCGGUUCAAAGACAAGUUCAAGCCGCAUUCAGAUCAUAGAUCAAAGAAGCUUCAAGCUCACUUCAAAUAAAGCCAAGGUCAUAGCUAUCCAUUGCACCGUGAAGGCUAUACUCUUUUUGUCCUCAUCAUGGUUUUAUCCCAAGUGGUUUUACAUGGUGAGGUUUUUAAUGAGGUAGUCAUUUGCGUGUUGCAAGCUUGGCCUUUGGAACCAAUGGCUUCCAAAGCCCAACCUUGAGGGAGGGUAUUAAAGUGAAGCAAGACAAGGAGAUGUGAAGGCCAAACAAAGGAAGUGAAGGCCAAGCAUCUCCACAUCAAACUAAAGAAGAAGAAGCUAUCCUAGCCAUGAACAAGCCUCAAGAGAGUGAUCACACGGCCAAGACAAUGAAAAGAUGAUCAAGGCGUGUGUGCAAGAAGAGAAGGAGGCUGUAGAGUCAUGAAGUGUGUUGCAAGUAUUCAAGACUUGUGCAUCAAGGAAAGGAGCCAACAAAUGAAACAAGAGAAGAAGAGGUACUUGAACAGAGUCUGGUACAUACAACCUUGCUGUACAAGGCAGUCCGUACAGUCUUGGCUUCCAAGUAACCAAGCUUAACCUAGAGUGACUUGGAAGGCAAGGAAAGUAGUGAGCUCGUCCAGCUUGAUAUUCUGAAGCAGAUUUGAAGUUUAAACAAGCUUAUGACCGUUGGAGAGUCAAGGGAAAAGAUCUGGUUUGAAUUGAAGCAAGGAAAGUCACAUGUGGUGCUUUGGAGAAGCAACUGGCCUGUCACUUUCACUUAAGCAAGCUGUGCCAACCUCUCUCCUGUCCCUUUCUCCUCAUCUGGUCGUGCCUCUUCCUGUUCUCAUCCUCCUUGGCUGCUUCCUAAUAGCUUUGUUUAUUCAUUUCCUAGGAUAGUAUUAGUUUAAUCUCUCCUUUGUCUUGUUGCUGCUGCUGUAAAACCUAAGGCUCUCCUCUAUAAAUAAAGAGGCAGCCUCAUUGUAAUGAACACACAAGAAAUAAGAGACAAGCUUAUAUAAAAUUCGUGUAUCACUCAUCUCUUUACUAAGUGUUCUUCAAAUUCUUCACAAUGUAGAGAGUUAAGUGCUACACGAUUUUGGGACUGCCUAAGGGCAGAUCCUUGCUUGCCCAUUCACUCUAAAAUUAACUCUAAACUCUUCUUUUAUUUAUCUUAAACUCUAGCUUACUGAUUCUAAUUCCUAUUCUCCUUAAGUGAACAAACUGAAAGUGUUGUGUCACUUCUCAAGGAAUAGAUUCAAACUAGAGUCUUUAAUCUGUUCUUAGUUUAAUUCUAAUUAUUGUAUCAAUCUCACAGCCACUUAAUCUCUCUAGAUUCAGAUGGUUGUGUAGAUUAUUUUGCUGAGAGGAUUCAAUCACAAGUUGAUUGUCUCUUCCAUUCUUAAAGAGUGAGUUCAUGUUCUUAGCUAUUCAUAGCUUUUCCAACAGUAAACCUUAUAAAAGGAGAUGUAAUUGGCGAUUUCAAGCCUUAAGGGAGUUUGGGGGAUUUCCCCUCUCCACUUCAUAAUGAAAUGUGUUCUUGAAUCAGAUUCCCUUUAAUCUCUCCCUUUCUUAUACUCUUAAUCUCUCAAAGUCUCUUGUUUCUGAUUUAAGUAAACACAUAAACACUCUUAUAAACUCUCUCUCUAAAAUCACCUAAAACAAACUCAAAUCUUCUCAGCUUGCUCCAUUGGAGCUUAUACACACACACAACCUGAGAUCUCUGAAAAUCUCAUAUGGUAUCAGAGCCAGGUUCAUCUGAAUCUGGUUGAAGCUUCCGCAAACCUCAGAGCUCACUACCAUGUCCAUUUCAACCAAGAAGAAGCUGUCUGUUCUAUCCGGCUGUUCAACACCUCAAGAGGCAGGCGUGUUCAUCCUGGAGUCCAGAAGCUGUCUGCUGCUGUUCCUCAUCAUCCCAUGUCGCCCUUGAAGAAAGAAGAUCCAAGGAAACAAAGGCAAUGGAGCGGAUUAGCUACCCUCUCUAACAAAGCCAGUUCCGGGUUCUUGCUAUUCAAAGUCCAAGAAGAAGUUUCUCAAGAAGAAAGCUUGCUGCUUGUACUGGUGUGGCGUAUACAACAUGGAGAAAGGUGGGAGCUAAGACAUGGUGGUUCAAAAGGAAAGGUCCAUGGAAGAUGGAGGCGUUGGAGUGCACACUAACAACUCAGAAUCUGUCCAAUGGAAUCAAGGAUCUAUACAAAGGUCCUUGGCUGUAAGAAAGUUCUUUCCUUUGUAUAAAGCUGGAGUAUAUUGACAGGUUGUGUUGUGAUUGAAAACUUGUGGAUGUUUAAAGAUUGCUAGAUAUGAAAUGUUUAGAAUCUGUCCCAAGAUACUAGAGAGUUGUGAAUGGUGAUUGAGAGUUGAAAAGCUUGCCUCGGUUCUAUAAUGAUUGUAUAGGAUGCUAGAUGAGUCUGAUCCUGUUUACUUUCAUUGAUUGAAACCGAGUAGUAUAAUAAAGCUUAGAGUGUUGUUGCUGCCUUAGGUUGAUGCACUUGGAUUCAAGUCUAAGAUGCAGUUAAGGCAGAAGUUAAAAUUGCCUAAGUGUCUUGUAAUGAAUCUGUAGGAUCAUACUAGAACUUAGAGAGCUAAGCUUGCAAUGAUUUGAAACUUGGGUGUCUUGUUUGAUCUUGCAUUGCUUUAGUGAGACAUUGGUGUUCAAGCUUGAUGUGGAAUCAAGGACUGACCCAAUGCACCUAUGUCUAAUCUUCUCUGGAGUUUGAGUGGUGUUUCAGGUAUACAAGAAGUGUUCGUAGUUCAUCACCAAUCCAAGAGAAAGAGGAAGGCAUUGCCCAUUGUCAUGAGCAAUGGAGAGCGGUUACUGAAGUGGUGAUGUGCCACUGGUUAGUGAAGACUCACGGCUGCUCACUUCCAAGCUUGGACCCUCAUUCUAUCCAAGCUUGAGGAGGGGAGUUAAGUGAGCAAAGAAGGAAGACCAUGGCAAGCAACUGAUGGAAAAGGAGUCAUCCGGCUGUGGGAAGAACAAGGGAGUGUUCAGAGCACUCUCGGCUGUGUGAAGAUGAUGGAGCUACUCUAUCAAGGCGGCUUCCAGUGUGAGCAGUCUGAAGAGGGAGCUGAAGGUUCCACAAGCAUUCCAUGGAGAUGGCGAGUUCAGAAGGUGCUGCAAGGGUCUGAUGGUGUGAUCAUGAAGCUGCUCUCCCAAGCUUGACUUGUUCCACAUGGUCAAGCUUGAGGGGGAGUGUUGAGAAGACUUCAAAUGAUCACAAAGGUGCCGGUUCAAGAAGGUGGACGGCAGUGAGCAAAUGUAGAGAAUCAAGAAGCUCUCCUUCCAAGCUUGACUUGUUCCACAUGGUCAAGCUUGAGGGGGAGUGUUGAGAAGGCUUCUUGAUGAGAGCACUUGGCGGUUAUUCAAGAAGAGGAGCAUACCGGUUUGUGAAGCAAGAUGGAGGAUGGUGAAGCAAUCUCCAAGGCGGCCAGAGCAGAGCAGCCUUGGUACUACAGACUGAGGCAUCCGAUCAUGAAGCUUUAGAACAAGGUGGAAACUCUAGAAGAAGAAGCAGCCAAGGCUCAGCUAUUACAAGAUGAAGAGUGAUGAGCAAGAGAAGAUGUGAUCUACCUUGCAUCACAAGAAGGGGCCGAGAUCCAGAGUCUUUGUGUCCCUUACAUUGUUGGUAAGGCACAAAGACUCACUGGCCAAUCCCUAGGCCUUGGAGGCUUUACUCUUUUUCCCUCAUCAAGGUUUUGUCCCAAAGGGUUUUCCUUGGUGAGGUUUUUAAUGAGGAAGUUCUUCAAGGUUCCAAGCUUGACUUAGGAUCAGCUAAAGUCAAGCUUGAGGGGGAGUGUUGACUUGAAGAAAAGAAAUGGAGUGGUGAAGGGUUGAGUUGAGAUUGAGUCUUGAGCAAGAAUAGGGCAAGACCUCCGGAGAUUAUCUAUGAAGACUUUAGGAGUGUUUGAAGGUGUCCAGAAGUGCUCAUAUGGCUGUGCAAAGAUAGGGCCAAGUCCAGGAGGGACUUAGAAGAGUGUUUGGGAGCAAAUGGGCAAGUGUGCAUACUUAGGGCGAGACAGUACGGAUGGUACGGACCUGUACGGAUCCGUACGGACCGAGACAACCCGAGGAAACACAACUUGGCCAUUUGAGAUGUUUUGAGGUGGUGCAAAGUCCGGGACAAGAUGUGCAAGCUUAGGGCAUGAUCAGAACAUGUCCGGGAGACUUUGUGCAUACUUAGGGCUGAUAAAAAGAAGUCUGGUCGUGAAGCAUCAAAAGGGAAUCAAGAAGAUCCUUUGUGGAGGCAAGCGGCCAAUGAGAGCAAAGAUGGAGCUGAUUGGUUACUUUGGAGGAUGGACAGGCUGGCUUUGGCUGUAAAGCAAAGGGAGCCACGACCAUGAACAUGGUCUGAAUGAAGGCUUGAUACAUGGGAGCCUAUAAGGAGCCAAUGGGAGAACAGCCUUCCCUUUGACCAGUUUGAAUAAACCAAUCAGACAUCAACUAGCUCUCCUCCAAUCAAGACAUCUCACACAGAUUGCAAUCUCAACUCUCCAUCCUGGCCAUCCAUUUAUAUUCAGUCAUUUCUAUCCAUUAGAUUUAGGUUUAUGAGAAUGCAAAGUUGUAAACCUUAUAAAAGGAGAUGUAAUUGGCGAUUUCAAGCCUUAAGGGAGUUUGGGGGAUUUCCCCUCUCCACUUCAUAAUGAAAUGUGUUCUUGAAUCAGAUUCCCUUUAAUCUCUCCCUUUCUUAUACUCUUAAUCUCUCAAAGUCUCUUGUUUCUGAUUUAAGUAAACACAUAAACACUCUUAUAAACUCUCUCUCUAAAAUCACCUAAAACAAACUCAAAUCUUCUCAGCUUGCUCCAUUGGAGCUUAUACACACACACAACCUGAGAUCUCUGAAAAUCUCAUACAGAUCACUUCCUUCUACAUUACAGAACCAAUCAGCAACAAUGCCUAUCAAAGAGUCUUGCAAGGUAAAACAGAUUUGAGGACAAAUCUUUUUCAAGAGGGAGGGAAUGAUAUGAUUCUGGACCAGCUUACCAAUGAAGAAAAUGUGAUCAUGGACCAGCUUGUAGAUGAAGAUGCCCUAGCCAUUCCUGAAGGUCCCAACACUUGUUCCAGAUCAAAGAAACUCAAUGAAGCUGAUGGAGGAAUACUCAAGAUGUCAAGGAAGCAAGAAGAUUGUCUUGGUUGCAGCUUGAUCAACCAAGACACACUCACCACAACUCAAGCUACUCCACCUUCAAGCUGAUCAUCAUCUAGGCAAGUAGCUUGUGUGUGCUCUUUUCCUAACCUUUGGUUUUGUCCCACUGGGUUUUCCAAAGGAAGGUUUUUAACGAGGCCACAAGUUUACUUUCACAUCUCCUAGAUGAUGAUCCCGGACCAACCACAUUAUCUAUCUUAUGUUAUUUUUAUCCUAUGUUUUAUGUUUUGAAUAAUUUCGAUAACUUGGUCUUUGUUUAGUUUCCAAGGGAGCCUGUUCCCUUUAUUUUUAUUUCUAUUUUCGAGACCUUGUGCAUGUACAAGGGCCUGUCUUUAUAUUCUGGUCGUGACCCCCCUUUAUGAUUAAGCAAUCUUUUAUCAAAAACCCUUUUCUCUCUUCUCUCUUGUCUUGGACGAGUUAAAGUGUGUCUGGUGUGUAAUAUCCAGUCUGUUGGUGUGUAAUAUCCAACACCCAAGGGCUUUAGAGAGGUGUGUCAUAUCCGAUCUAAGCCUAGGAGUAUCAAGAAGCCUUUCCGCAGCCUCUUGUGUCACCAUUCGAUCCACAUACCUUGAGAAGCUUGAGUCUUUUGAUUCGUUUCUGCAAGGAUUAUCCCAUCUGUUCCAGAGCAUCAUCCUAGGAUCUCAUUACGUGAGCAGGACAAGGUCUUUGGACUGCUCUUGACACUGAAUCCGGCAUACAGUGGGCUGAUACAACACAUGCUAAGAGAUGAUACUCUACCUGACUUGGAGGAAGUGUGUUCUCGGAUUCAGAAAGAGCAAGGGUCAAUUGGGUUGUUUGGGAAGAAGGGGGAGUUGUCUCUAGCCAACCAAGCCGCACAAGCUGAGCAAGGAGAGACUCCACAAGCUAACAGAGCUACGAAUGGGAAGUUUGAGGAUAGGAGGUUCAAUGGGAGCUGUGAUCAUUGCAAGAAGCAAGGCCACAAGAAAAGCCAGUGUUGGAUACUCCACCCACACCUCAAACCGGCAAAGUUCAUGAAGGAAAGGGAAGCUAGAGCUCACCUGUCUGACGGGUCAAGUGAUGUGGGUACUAGCAAGGCUCAAGAAGGUGGUACAAGUGAUGGCAAGUCUCUGGUGGCGUACAUGGGAGCUCCUAGCAGCCGCAACAAUGAUCAGGACUUCAUAAGGAAGGCUGACAUUGAUGCACUCAUCAAGAUGUUCAAGGAUAACGGUAACAUCUAUGGUUAUUCUUAUGGUGCUUCCAUGAUUGCUAGGACUGUAGGAGACUUAGAUUGCAUCACUAGAACUGAUAGUAUAGCUAGGUCUCUAAGAAAUGCAAAUAACUACAAUGCAUAUAAGCCAUCUAGUAUACUCGCUCACCUUGCUAGUAAUCAAUCAACUAGACCUCUUAUUGUAGAUUCAGGUGCAUCACAUCACAUGAUUAGUGAUACUAAGUUGAUUAAAAACAUUGUGCCUACUAAGGGUCAUGUGAUGAUUGCAAAUAGUGAUAAGGUUCCAAUUAAAGGAAUAGGAACACUUAAACUGUUUAGUAAAGACUCAAAAGCUUUCUAUAUGCCUGACUUUACUUCAAACUUAUUAUCUGUCAAGAAAUGUGCAACUGACUUGCAAUGCAAUGUCAUAUUUAGUCCUAAUGAUGUGAAGUUUCAGGAUAUUGAAAGCAGCAAAGUGAUUGGAAAAGGAGUAACAAAAGGAGACUUAUAUUUGCUUGAAGAUCUUGCUCCUGUUUCUGACAUUAGCUGCUCUUUUACUACUGCUUCUGUUCCUAGUUUAAAUAAGAAUGCAUUGUGGCAUGCUAGACUAGGACACCCUCAUAAUAAGGCUUUAAAACUGAUGUUGCCAGGUGUUUCUUUUGAAAACAAUGAUUGUGAAGCUUGCAUUUUAGGCAAGCAUUGUAGAACUGUAUUUCCAAACUCUUCUACGGUUUAUGAGAAUUGCUUUGAUCUUAUUCACUCUGAUGUAUGGACUGCUCCUUGUUUAUCUAGAGAGAAUCAUAAGUAUUAUGUCUCAUUCAUUGAUGAAAAAUCUAAAUACACCUGGUUAACCUUAAUUCCAACUAAAGAUAGGGUGCUUGAUGCAUUUAAAAAUUUUCAAUCCUAUGUAACUAACCAUUAUCAAGCCAAGAUUAAGAUUUUCAGGUCAGAUAAUGGAGGAGAAUACAUUGGACAAGCUUUCAAGCAACACUUAUCUCAGUAUGGAAUUCUUCAUCAAACAAGCUGUCCCUACACCCCACAACAGAAUGGUGUGGCUGAGAGGAAGAAUAGGCACCUUAUGGAAGUUGCAAGAUCAAUGAUGUUCCAAGCUAAUGUACCUAAGAAGUUUUGGAGUGAUGCAGUAGCCACGGCCUGCUAUCUAAUCAACAGGACUCCCACGCAGCAAUGAUGACUACAUCAAGAGAUCAGACCUUGAUGCUCUCUUCAAAAUGCUAAAGGAAAACGGUAACACUUAUGGUUAUUCCUUUGGAGCCUCUAUGAUUGCAUACAAGGAUGAUCACUUGAUUAGAGAACUGGUAGAACGGUUAGAAGCUAGACAUGAGUAUAGAACUGCUCACAUUGCUAGAACUGAUAGGAUGCAUCCAUUGCUUAGUAAUCUAUGUCUUAAUGCUAAACAAGUAGGUAAACCAUUGAUUGUUGAUUCUGGUGCAUCACAUCAUAUGAUAAGUGAUGAGAACUUGAUUAAAGAUAUAGAACCUACGCAUGGGCAUGUGAUGAUAGCAAAUGGGGAUAAGAUACCUAUUAGAGGAAUAGGAAAGCUUAAGUUGUUUAACAAAGAAUCUAGAGCUUUUUACAUGCCUGAAUUCACAUCAAACCUAUUAUCUGUGAAGAAAUGUACUAAUGAUUUACAAUGCAAUGUUAUCUUUAGUCCUAAUGAUGUGAAGUUUCAGGAUAUUGAGAGCAGCAAAUUGAUUGGGAAAGGAGUGACUAAGGGAGACCUCUAUAUUGUUGACAUGAAGCAAUAAAGAGAGGAGAAUGAAGUAAGAAGCAAGAGGGGAACAAUUACAUCCGGAUCAAGCAAUCACUCAACUUACCUUGCUAGACAAGUCUGUCCGUACAAGACAACCCUAACUUGGAGUGCAAGACAUAAGAGUGACUGAUGUAGAAGAGAAGAAGGCAAGAAGAAUGUUUGGAAUCGCCUAAGGGAAGUGGGGAACCGUUGAGAGUGCAGGUCACGGGUCUGGUUAAGGAUUCAAAGUCUUCCCACCCGUUAGGACCUGUCACUAUCUAGGACCACUUUGCCCAUCUCUCCUCUGUCUUAACUUCUUUGUUUAUUGUUUCCUUAAUGUCGACAUCUUGCUGUAUGAAUUCUAUAAAUGGGUUGUUCCCAUAAACAAAUCAUUCAAGGGAAAAGAGUUCUCUAUUAUUCUCUUUGUCAAUCUCUCUCUCUCUCUCACGGUUCAACCUAGUUCUUCUCUAAUCUCUUCACAAAUCUUCCUUAAACUCUCACAUAAAUCCUAUAAAACUCUCAUAUAUGCUUGAAGAGCUCACUUCUGUUCCUGAUUAUAGUUGUUCAUUUACUUCUGCUUCUUUAUUGAAUAAAAAUGCAUUGUGGCAUGCUAGAGUAGGACACCCUCAUGUUAAAGCUUUGAACUUAAUGGUACCAGGUGUUGUGUUUGAGAACAAAGAUUGUGAAGCUUGUAUUUUAGGCAAGCAUUGUAGAACUGUGUUUCAAAAGUCUACUACUAUCUAUGAUAACUGCUUUGAUCUAAUUCAUUCUGAUGUAUGGACUGCCCCUUGCUUAUCUAGAGAUAGUUAUAAGUACUUUGUCACGUUCAUUGAUGAAAAAUCCAAAUACACCUGGUUAACCUUAAUUCAGACCAAAGAUAGGGUACUUGAUGCAUUUAGGAACUUUCAAACUUAUGUAACUAACCAUUAUCAUGCUAAGAUUAAAAUUUUGAGAUCAGAUAAUGGAGGAGAGUACACGGGUCAUGCAUUCAAGGAACACUUAUCACAACAUGGGAUCCUACAUCAAACAAGCUGUCCGUAUACUCCACAGCAAAAUGGUGUGGCUGAGAGGAAGAAUAGGCACCUCAUGGAAGUGGCAAGGUCUCUUAUGUUUCAGAGUAAUGUUCCAAAGAGAUUCUGGAGUGAUGCGGUUGCCACUGCUUGUUACUUGAUCAACAGAACUCCAACCAAGGUUCUGAAUGAGAAGGCUCCAUUUGAAGUUCUGAACAGGUACAAACCAGUACUUGAUUACUUGCGAGUCUUUGGAUGUCUAUGCUUUGUGCUCAAACCAGGAGAGAUGAUCAACAAGCUAGAAGCAAGAAGUACUAAGGCUGUGUUCAUAGGAUACUCAGCUACACAGAAAGGAUACAAAUGCUAUGAUCCUAUAGCAAGGAGAGUUCUUGUAUCUAGAGAUGUGAAGUUCUUGGAAGAUAGAGGAUACUAUGAAGAAAAGAACCAAGAAGACUUGAAGGACUUAACAUCAGACAAGGCAACCACCUUGCGGAUCAUCCUUGAAGGUCUUGGAAUCAGUACAUCCCAGGAUCCAAGAGAUCACGCAACAACACCUCCUGAAGUUGGUUCACCAUCCCACCUUGAUCAUGAGGGAGGAGAGACGCAUGAGGAGGAGCCUACUCAAGAGGUUAACCAAGAUGAAGGAGAAGAGAGCAUAGGCUCUGAUGGUCAUGGGCAUGAUCAUGGUGUGAUACAAACACCUUCUCAAGAUGAAGUGGUAGAAGAACAACAAGAAGAAGAACCGGUUGUGCAGCCACUGAGAAGGAGUACAAGGAUAAGGAAGGAUCCUUCCAGUUGGGUAAACACGAGAGUGUACUACAAUGCCCAAGCUGUGGAGCAUCCUUCUCAAGCCGUGUGCUCCUUUGCUCAAUAUCCAGAAGCACAUUGCGCUUUCAUGGUAAACUUGGAUGAGAAUCACAUCCCAAGAAGCUAUGAAGAGGCAAUAAAGGAUAAAGAAUGGAAAGAGUCAGUAGGAGAUGAAGCAGGAGCUAUGAUCAAGAAUGAUACAUGGUAUGAAAGUGAGUUACCAAAAGGGAAGAAGGCUGUGACCAGUAGAUGGAUAUUCACAAUCAAGUACAAAGCGGAUGGAAAGAUUGAGAGGAAGAAGUCAAGGCUAGUUGCAAGAGGUUUCACUCAAACUUAUGGAGAAGAUUAUAUAGAAACCUUUGCACCAGUAGCUAAACUACACACAAUCCGGAUUGUACUAAGCUUGGCUGUGAAUCUUGGAUGGGGGUUAUGGCAAAUGGAUGUGAAGAAUGCAUUUCUACAAGGUGAACUUGAGGAUGAAGUGUAUAUGCAUCCACCUCCAGGCCUUGAACACUUAGUGAAGAAAGGGAAUGUGUUAAGACUGAAGAAAGCUAUCUAUGGGCUGAAGCAAUCACCAAGAGCUUGGUACAACAAGUUGAGCACUACUCUGAAUGGCCGAGGCUUCAAGAAGUCUGAACUAGAUCACACCCUCUUCACACUCACUACUCCCUCAGGUAUGAUUGCUCUCCUUGUGUAUGUUGAUGAUAUCAUUAUCACAGGGAGUGAUAAGGAAGGUAUCAUAGCAACCAAGGAGUUUCUUAAAUCCAUGUUUGAGAUUAAAGACUUGGGAGAAAUGAAAUACUUCCUUGGAAUUGAGAUAUGUAGAUCCAAGGAAGGUUUGUUCAUGUCUCAAAGGAAGUAUACACUUGAUCUUUUGAAAGGUGCAGGUGCUCAUGGUGGCAAGACAGCAAGGAUGCCUAUGGAGGAUGGCUACAAAGUCCCACGAGAGGGGGAGAUUGAAGACAGCAAACCUUAUCAGGAUCCUAAACUCUAUAGAAAACUAGUUGGCAAAUUGAUUUAUCUUACUAUAACUAGACCUGACAUUUGUUUUGCUGUGAAUCAGGUGAGUCAACACAUGCAAGUGCCUAAGGAACAUCAUUGGCGCAUGGUGGAGAGGAUCUUGAUGUAUCUCAACGGCUCACCUGAUCAAGGAGUAUGGAUGGGCUGCAAUGGAAGCACUGAAGUGGUGGGAUACUGUGAUGCGGAUUGGGCUGGUGAUAGAGCAGACAGGAGAUCAACCACAGGCUAUUGCACAUUCAUUGGAGGCAACUUGGUGACUUGGAAGAGCAAGAAGCAGAAGGUAGUGUCAUGUUCAAGUGCAGAAGCCGAGUAUAGAGCCAUGCUGAAGCUUACCAAUGAGUUGGUAUGGAUCAAAGGCAUCUUGAAGCACUUGGAGAUUGAUCAAGCAACUCCAAUGACAAUGCAUUGUGACAAUCAAGCUGCCAUCCACAUUGCAUCCAACUCGGUGUUCCAUGAGAGGACCAAGCACAUUGAAGUUGAUUGCCACAAGGUGAGACAGAUGAUUGUGCUAGGGGUGAUCUUGCCAUGUUAUACAAGGAGUGAAGAUCAGCUAGCGGAUGUGUUCACCAAGGCUGCAAGGCAAAAGACUAUGGAGUCCAUUCACAUCAGAUUGGGACUCAUAGAUCUUGGGAAGAGAAGGAGCUAAUCCCCUUAGCUGCAAGGUCUUUACUCUUUUUCCCUCAUCAAAGUUUUAUCCCAUUGGGUUUUCUUCGGUGAGGUUUUUAAUGAGGAAGAUCUUGUAGCUUUCCAAGCUUAGGCUUUCACAAAGCUAAGCUUGAGGGGGAGUGUUGAGUUGAGUUGAUUAUAUUGGUAUGGAGAGAAGAGGAGUUGAAGAGGAGAAGAGAUGGAGAAGCUUAGGGGGUUUUGGUGUGAAUGGUACGGACGGCCGUACAAGGCCGUACAUGGCCGUACCGUCCGUACCAAUGGCCGCGAUCAAUACUUACCCAACUCGACCAAGUGAAACGGUAACAAGGAGAUAUUACCUUGGGAGCUUAAGGAGAAGGGAUCAGACCGUUGAGUGGAUAAGGGAAGAGCGUGCCAGGCUGGAACAGGCUGUAAAGAGGCAAAGCGUGUGAGCCUUAUCAUCCAAUCAUCCGGAAAGCAACCUUGACUCUACAUGCUUCAAUAGUGCCCAUUUCGACUCUUGUAAACCCUUAUGCUUUCCAUAUAAAUAUGUAACCUCACUCAUUAAUAAGAACAUACAGUUUGAGCCUCUCUAAUCUCUUAGACACUAUGAUUAUCUCUUAGACUCUAAACGGCUCUAUCUAGUCUCUUAAUCUUUCACAAACUUCUCCUAAUCACUUCUUAAACACUCUCUUUAUUCUGAUUACUCUAAGGAUCUCUUAAUCUCAUAUGGUAUCAGAGCCAGGUUCAUUUGAAUCUGGGGUUUGAUCUUUAGAGAGUUACAAGCUAAACGGCUUUGAAGCUACACGCGAGUAGCCUUGAAGGUGUUGAAGCUGUGAUACGUUCUAGUUGAAGCUGUGCUACGUUCUGUGUGGUUGCGUGAUUCUAGACUCAAGGUUGGUGUGUACGAGAUUCAAGAUUCAAGUUUUCAAGUCAAGCAAAGAUGGAACAUGGGAUGAACAUGAGGAUGAAGGUAGCGGUUACUUUCAAAGGUAGCAACUACCUUGUGUGGUCUCGGAUGGUGAAGACUGCGGUGGGAAGUAAGGGUUUGUGGGGGCACAUCACAACAGGGGAGGCUCCGAAACUCAUUACUCAGGGAGGAGAUCAAGAAGAGGUCGCCAAUGAAGCGGCUGUGGAGAAAUGGCAACAAGAAGACAUGCUGGUGAUGACGGUUCUACACGCAUCCUUGGACCCAGCUAUCUUGGAUGCCUACAGCUACUGUGAAUCAGCCAAGGAGCUGUGGGACACGCUGAAGAAGGUAUAUGGGAACAUUUCCAACCUCAGCCGUGUGUUUGAAGUAAAGCUAGCGAUCAACCGUCUUGCACAAGAGGACAUGGAGUUCACUAAGCAUUUGGGGAGGUUCAGGUCCUUAUGGUCAGAGCUGGAGAUGCUGAGGCCGAGCACAACUGAUCCAGAUCAGUUGAAUGAGAGGCGCGAGCAAGACAAGGUCUUUGGGUUGCUUCUCACACUGAACCCGGCCUACACUCACCUCAUCCAGCACAUGCUAAGGUCAGAUAAGCUUCCGGACCUUGAGGAGGUGUGUGCGCAAAUCCAAAGGGAGCAGGGAUCUAUGGGGUUGUUUGGAGGAAAGGGGGAGCUCUCUCUUGCCAAUCAAGCAGCUCAUGAUGACUCAACCGAGGCUCCACAAGCAAACAAGGCAUCUCACGGGAAGUAUGAGGACAGGAAGUUCAAUGGCAACUGUGAUCAUUGCAAGAAGCAUGGUCAUAAGAAGAGCCAAUGCUGGAUACUUCACCCACACCUCAAGCCGGCCAAGUUCAUGAAGGAGCGUGAGGGAAGGGCAAAUGUGACUGAAGGUUCAAAUGGAGCUGGUACCAGCAAGGCGAGUGAAGCGGAUGGGCUUGGAGGCAAUGAGGGGAAUGGGAAGUCUCUGGUGGCUUACACAGGCGCCUCAAGCUCACGCAGCAAUGAUGACUACAUCAAGAGAUCAGACCUUGAUGCUCUCUUCAAAAUGCUAAAGGAAAACGGUAACACUUAUGGUUAUUCCUUUGGAGCCUCUAUGAUUGCAUACAAGGAUGAUCACUUGAUUAGAGAACUGGUAGAACGGUUAGAAGCUAGACAUGAGUAUAGAACUGCUCACAUUGCUAGAACUGAUAGGAUGCAUCCAUUGCUUAGUAAUCUAUGUCUUAAUGCUAAACAAGUAGGUAAACCAUUGAUUGUUGAUUCUGGUGCAUCACAUCAUAUGAUAAGUGAUGAGAACUUGAUUAAAGAUAUAGAACUUACGCAUGGGCAUGUGAUGAUAGCAAAUGGGGAUAAGAUACCUAUUAGAGGAAUAGGAAAGCUUAAGUUGUUUAACAAAGAAUCUAGAGCUUUUUACAUGCCUCAAUUCACAUCAAACCUAUUAUCUGUGAAGAAAUGUACUAAUGAUUUACAAUGCAAUGUUAUCUUUAGUCCUAAUGAUGUGAAGUUUCAGGAUAUUGAGAGCAGCAAAUUGAUUGGGAAAGGAGUGACUAAGGGAGACCUCUAUAUGCUUGAAGAGCUCACUUCUGUUCCUGAUUAUAGUUGUUCAUUUACUUCUGCUUCUUUAUUGAAUAAAAAUGCAUUGUGGCAUGCUAGAGUAGGACACCCUCAUGUUAAAGCUUUGAACUUAAUGGUACCAGGUGUUGUGUUUGAGAACAAAGAUUGUGAAGCUUGUAUUUUAGGCAAGCAUUGUAGAACUGUGUUUCAAAAGUCUACUACUAUCUAUGAUAACUGCUUUGAUCUAAUUCAUUCUGAUGUAUGGACUGCCCCUUGCUUAUCUAGAGAUAGUUAUAAGUACUUUGUCACAUUCAUUGAUGAAAAAUCCAAAUACACCUGGUUAACCUUAAUUCAGACCAAAGAUAGGGUACUUGAUGCAUUUAGGAACUUUCAAACUUAUGUAACUAACCAUUAUCAUGCUAAGAUUAAAAUUUUGAGAUCAGAUAAUGGAGGAGAGUACACGGGUCAUGCAUUCAAGGAACACUUAUCACAACAUGGGAUCCUACAUCAAACAAGCUGUCCGUAUACUCCACAGCAAAAUGGUGUGGCUGAGAGGAAGAAUAGGCACCUCAUGGAAGUGGCAAGGUCUCUUAUGUUUCAGAGUAAUGUUCCAAAGAGAUUCUGGAGUGAUGCGGUUGCCACUGCUUGUUACUUGAUCAACAGAACUCCAACCAAGGUUCUGAAUGAGAAGGCUCCAUUUGAAGUUCUGAACAGGUACAAACCAGUACUUGAUUACUUGCGAGUCUUUGGAUGUCUAUGCUUUGUGCUCAAACCAGGAGAGAUGAUCAACAAGCUAGAAGCAAGAAGUACUAAGGCUGUGUUCAUAGGAUACUCAGCUACACAGAAAGGAUACAAAUGCUAUGAUCCUAUAGCAAGGAGAGUUCUUGUAUCUAGAGAUGUGAAGUUCUUGGAAGAUAGAGGAUACUAUGAAGAAAAGAACCAAGAAGACUUGAAGGACUUAACAUCAGACAAGGCAACCACCUUGCGGAUCAUCCUUGAAGGUCUUGGAAUCAGUACAUCCCAGGAUCCAAGAGAUCACGCAACAACACCUCCUGAAGUUGGUUCACCAUCCCACCUUGAUCAUGAGGGAGGAGAGAUGCAUGAGGAGGAGCCUACUCAAGAGGUUAACCAAGAUGAAGGAGAAGAGAGCAUAGGCUCUGAUGGUCAUGGGCAUGAUCAUGGUGUGAUACAAACACCUUCUCAAGAUGAAGUGGUAGAAGAACAACAGGAAGAAGAACCGGUUGUGCAGCCACUGAGAAGGAGUACAAGGAUAAGGAAGGAUCCUUCCAGUUGGGUAAACACGAGAGUGUACUACAAUGCCCAAGCUGUGGAGCAUCCUUCUCAAGCCGUGUGCUCCUUUGCUCAAUAUCCAGAAGCACAUUGCGCUUUCAUGGUAAACUUGGAUGAGAAUCACAUCCCAAGAAGCUAUGAAGAGGCAAUAAAGGAUAAAGAAUGGAAAGAGUCAGUAGGAGAUGAAGCAGGAGCUAUGAUCAAGAAUGAUACAUGGUAUGAAAGUGAGUUACCAAAAGGGAAGAAGGCUGUGACCAGUAGAUGGAUAUAUGACAUUUAGGAAUGUAAAAGAUUAUCUGAGUUUAGAAAGGAUUAAAGAAGGAGAAUAAGAGAUUAAGAGACAACUUAGAGACUAAUGGAGAAUCAUAGUGAAAUGAGUAAAGAGAAGGAUUGUUUAGAACUGUCUAAUCUUUAUUAAUGACUGAGGUUACAUAUAUAUAGUCCUAAGCAUUAGGGUUUUUCGAAAACAUAAGGAUAGCUAAGCAUGUGAAGUCAAGGGAAGAGCCUUUGCUUUUUGUUUGAACCGGCCAAUGACAAGCUUCACACGAUUAGGCAUCUUCCUGAUCCAAGUCCAAGAUGCUCUUCCUUUCCAGUCUUUGCCAGCCUGUCUUAGCUGUCAAUGCGCGCCUCUCUUAUCCACUCCAACGUCUGGAUAAGCUUUUGGUCGAGUGUAACUUCACCUCAGUUCAUGUGGUUACUCGGUGAAGUUACCAUCCUCCCUUUUACCUUGUACGGUCAGUGUACGGAUGAUCCGUCCGUACCAUUGCCCAAUUCUCUCUUCCCUUUCACUCCUUUGCUUCCUCAUUUCCUUAACUCCUCAAUGCCUUCUCAAAUACCUCAGCACAUCUCAACACUCCCCCUCAAGCUUAGCUUUGUGAAAGCCUAAGCUUGGAUAGCUAUGAGAUCUUCCUCAUUAAAAACCUUACCAAGGAAAACCCAUUGGGAUAAAACCUUGAUAAGGGAAAAAGAGUAAAGACCUCACAGCCAAGGGGAUCAGCUCCUUCUCUUCCCAAGAUCAAUGAGGCCCAACCGUAUGUGAAUGGACUCCAUUGUCUUCUGUCUUGCAGCCUUGGUGAACACAUCCGCUAACUGAUCUUCACUUCUUGUGUAGCAUGGCAAGAUGACUCCUAGGAUGAUCAUCUGCCUCACCUUGUGGCAAUCAACUUCAAUGUGCUUGGUUCUCUCAUGGAACACCGAGUUGGAGGCAAUGUGGAUAGCUGCUUGGUUGUCACAAUGCAUGGUCAUUGGCGUGGCUUGAUCAAUCUCCAAAUGCUUCAAGAUGCCUUUGAUCCAUACUAACUCGUUGGUGAGCUUCAACAUAGCUCUAUACUCAGCUUCUGCACUUGAGCAAGACACCACCUUCUGCUUCUUACUCUUCCAAGUCACCAAGUUGCCUCCAAUGAAUGUGCAAUAGCCUGUGGUUGAUCUCCUGUCUGCUCUAUCACCAGCCCAAUCCGCAUCACAGUAUCCCACCACUUCAGUGCUUCCAUUGCAGCCCAUCCAUACUCCUUGAUCAGGUGAGCCGUUGAGAUACAUCAAGAUCCUCUCUACCAUGCGCCAGUGAUGCUCCUUAGGCACUUGCAUGUGUUGACUCACCUGAUUCACAGCAAAGCAAAUGUCAGGUCUAGUUAUGGUAAGAUAAAUCAAUUUGCCAACUAGUUUUCUAUAGAGUUUAGGAUCCUGAUAAGGCUUGCUGUCUUCAAUCUCCCCCUCUCGUGGGACUUUGUAGCCAUCCUCCAUAGGCAUCCUUGCUGUCUUGCCUCCAUAAGCACCUGCACCUUUCAAAAGAUCAAGUGUAUAUUUCCUUUGGGACAUGAACAAACCUUCCUUGGAUCUACAUAUCUCAAUUCCAAGAAAGUAUUUCAUUUCUCCCAAGUCUUUAAUCUCAAACAUGGAUUUAAGGAACUCCUUGGUUGCUAUGAUACCCUCCUUAUCACUUCCUGUGAUAAUGAUAUCAUCAACAUACACAAGGAGUGCAAUCAUACCUGAGGGGGUGGUGAGUGUGAAGAGAGUGUGAUCUAGUUCAGACUUCUUGAAGCCUCGGCCAUUAAGAGUAGUACUCAGCUUGUUGUACCAAGCUCUUGGUGAUUGCUUCAGCCCAUAGAUAGCUUUCUUCAAUCUCAACACAUUCCCUCUCUUCACUAAGUGUUCAAGGCCUGGAGGUGGAUGCAUAUACACUUCAUCCUCAAGUUCACCUUGUAGAAAGGCAUUCUUCACAUCCAUUUGCCAUAACCCCCAUCCAAGAUUCACAGCCAAGCUUAACACAAUCCGGAUUGUAUGUAGUUUAGCUACUGGUGCAAAGGUUUCUAUGUAAUCUUCUCCAUAAGUUUGAGUGAAACCUCUUGCAACCAGCCUUGACUUCUUUCUCUCAAUCUUUCCAUCUGCCUUAUACUUGAUUGUGAAUAUCCACCUACUAGUCACAGCCUUCUUCUCUUUUGGUAGCUCACUCUCAUACCAUGUAUCAUUCUUGAUCAUAGCUCCUGCCUCAGCUCCAACUGACUCCUUCCAUUCUUUAUCCAUGAUUGCUUCUUCAUAGCUUCUUGGAAUGUAAUUCUCAUCCAAGUUAACCAUGAAGGCACAAUGUUCUUCAGGGUAUUGAGCAAAUGAACACACGACUUGAGAAGGAUGCUCCACUGCUUGGGCAUUGUAGUACACUCGCGUGUUUACCCAAGAGGAAGGAUCCUUUCUCAGCCUUGUGCUUCUCCUCAAUACUGGUUGUUCUUGCUCUUGAACUGGCUCAUCUUGUGUAGUCGGUUCUUGUGCUUCAUUCUGAUGUUCUUCCUCUCCUUGGUCUUGCUCACCUUGAUGAUGAGAACCUGAGUUGAACUCUCCUCCUUCCUCACUCAAGCCGACUCCUUCUUGGCCAUUUUCUUGAGUUUCAGGUUCACUUCCCCCCUCAUGAUCAAGGUGAGGUGUUUGAGCAGCUCCACUUGGUGCAGUUGAGCUCUCUUCUUGUCUUCCACUUCUUGUGGAUUGAUCCUGGUUCAUCUUGAUACCGAGACCUUCCAAAAUGAUUCUUAAGACUCCAGCCUUAUCUGAUGUGAGAUCCUUCAAAUCUUCUUGAUUCUUCUCCUCAUAGUAUCCUCUUUCUUCAAUGAACUUCACAUCUCUAGAUACAAGCACCCUUCUAGCUUCUGGAUCAUAACACUUAUAUCCUUUUUGAGUUGUUGAGUAGCCAAUGAACAUUGCCUUUCUGCUUCUUGCUUCUAGCUUGUUCCUCAACUCUCCUGGUACUAGAACAUAGCAUAAGCAUCCAAACACUCUCAUGUAUUCCAAGGAUGGCUUGCGCUUGUUCAGAACUUCAAAUGGUGCUUGAUCCUUCAACACCUUUGUAGGCAUCCUGUUGAUUAGAUAGCACGCAGUAGAUACAGCAUCACUCCAGAAUCUCUUAGGUACAUUAGCUUGGAACAUCAGUGACCGAGCCACUUCCAUCAAGUGCCUGUUCUUCCUCUCAGCUACACCAUUCUGUUGUGGUGUGUAGGGACAGCUUGUUUGAUGAAGGAUUCCAUGGUGAUCUAGAUGACUCUUGAACGCAUAGCUUGUGUACUCCCCUCCAUUAUCUGAUCUCAAAAUUUUAAUCCUAGCAUGAUAAUGGUUAGUCACAUAAGCUUGAAAGUUCUUGAAUGCAUCUAUCACCCUAUCUUUUGAUGGAAUGAGGGUUAACCAGGUGUAUUUAGAUUUUUCAUCAAUGAAUGUGACAAAAUACUUAUGAUUAUCUCUAGAAAAACUAGGUGCAGUCCACACAUCAGUAUGAAUCAAAUCAAAGCAAUUUUCAUAGACAGUAGAUGUUCUUGGAAACACAUUCUUACAAUGCUUGCCUAAAAUGCAAGCCUCACACUUAUUAUUUUCAAAAACCACACCUGGUAACAUCAAGUUUAAAGCCCUCUCAUAGGGAUGACCUAAUCUAGCAUGCCACAAUGCAUUUUUAUUCAAACUAGAAGCAGAAGUAAAUGAGCAGUUAUAAUUGGAAACAGGAUCAAGCUUCUCAAGCAUGUAUAAGUCUCCCUUUGUAACUCCUUUUCCAAUCAAUUGGCUGCUCUCAAUAUCCUGAAACUUCACAUCAUUAGGACUGAAUAUAACAUUGCAAUUCAAAUCAGUAGUGCAUUUCUUAACUGAAAGAAGGUUUGAUGUGAAUUCCGGAAUAUAAAAUGCUCUAGUGUUCUUAUCAAAUAGCUUUAAGUUUCCUAUUCCCUUAAUAGGUAUCUUAUCCCCAUUUGCAAUCAUCACACAUCCAUUAGUAGGUUCUAUAUCUUUAAUCAGGUUGGUGUCACUAAUCAUAUGAUGAGAUGCACCUGAAUCUAUAAUCAAUGGUUUGGAUGUAUUGCUAGCACUAUGGCAGAUGCUAAUUUGUGAUCUAUAUGCAUUCAUCCUAGCAUUACUAUCAAUGCAAUGCUCAAUUUCAGUCUUACUAUCAAUCCUAGCAAUCUCAGCCACAUUAGGAGUCAUUUCUAUAGUUCUAGCAAUCAUAGAAGCACCAAAUGAAUACCCAUGAAUGUUACCAUUAUCCUUGAGCAUUUUGAUGAGUGCAUCCAUCUCGGAUCUCCUGAUGAAGUCUUGAUCAUUGCCUCGGGGGUUGAUAGCUCCAGUGUAGGUCACCAAAGCUUUUCCAUCUCCUUCACGGUUCUCCCCUUCAGCUCCACGGUUGGAUGGCCCUGCUCCACUUGAUCCUUCAGUCAUGUGAGCUUUUGCCUCUCUCUCCUUCAUGAACUUAGCCGGCUUCAAGUGGGGAUGGAGUAUCCAGCACUGACUCUUCUUGUGUCCAUGCUUCUUGCAGUGAUCACAGUUCCCAUUGAACUUCCUAUCCUCAUACUUGUUGUAACCAUCUUUGUUGGCUUGUGGAGGCUCUUCCCGGUCAGGUUGCACAGCAUUUGCAAGAGAUAAGUCUCCCUUGCCUCCAAACAAACCCAUUGAGCCCUGCUCCUUCUGUAUCUUAGCGCACACCUCUUCAAGGUCAGGCAGCUUCUCAGACCAUAGCAUGUGCUGGAUAAGACCACUGUAGCUUGCAUUCAACGUGAGCAGCAACCCAAAGACCUUGUCCUGCUCGCGUCUCUCAUUUAGAAGCUCUGGAUCAACCGUGCUUGGCCUCAGCAUCUCCAACUCAGACCAAAGAGACCUGAACCUCCCCAAGUGCUUAGUGAACUCCGUGUCAUCUUGAGUUAACCCAUUGAUUGCCUUCUUGACUUCAAACACUCGGUUCAGGUUAGAAGUGUUUCCAUACACUUUCUGUAGAGUAUCCCACAGCUCCUUGGCUGUCUCACAGUAGCUAUAAGCAUCUAGUAUAGCCGGCUCCAAAGAGGCAUGAAGAACUGACAUCACCAUCAUGUCUUCUUGUUGCCACUUCUCUACAACACUCUCCUCGGGACUCUCCGUUUCAUCCCCUUGAGUAAUCACCUUUGGAGCCUCACCAGAUGUGAUAUGCUUCCACAAACCCUUGCUUCCCACAGCAGUCUUCACCAUCCUAGACCAGACUAGGUAGUUGGUUCCCUUGAAUGUCACCGCGACCUUCAUCUUCAUGCCACUCUCCAUCUUGAACAGCUUGACGUCUCUAGCUUGAACAACCGGUUAGAUCUUGUACUGAGAACCCACGCUGCUCUCUAGAACACAGAUUCACUCUUGAGUCUUCAAAUGAACCUCUCACGGACCACCAAGACACACACAAACACCUUGAGCUUUUGGAACUCUCAAGAAACUCUCAAACACACUCACAGAGACACUCACGAACUCAGAUUGUAAUCAACCUGGCUCUGAUACCAUAUGACAUUUAGGAAUGUAAGAGGUUAUCUGAGUUUAGAAAGGAUUAAAGAAGGAGAAUAAGAGAUUAAGAGACAACUUAGAGACUAAUGGAGAAUCAUAGUGAAAUGAGUAAGGAGAAGGAUUGUUAAGAACUGUCUAAUCUUUCAUUAAGGACAUGAGUCACAAUAUAUAGUGUGAGCAUACAAGGGUUUUCGAAAUCAAGAGAAGACUAAAGCAUGUGAGGUCAAUCAGGAGAGGAUAAGCUCAUUUGGACUAGCCAAUUAGCUUCUCCACAUGCGCGGAGCAUCUAGCAUCUUGGACCGAGAUGCUCUUGCCUUUCCAGCUGUUCCAGCCUGUCAUGCCGCGCUCUACCUUAUCCCUAAACGGUCUGAUGCAUCCAGGUAAGUUCCUUCCCUUCACCUAAGUUACCGCAAGUAACUUCUUUACCCUUGUCAAGGUUUCACCCAUCUUCAUGUGUACGGUCAUGUACGGACUGUACGGACUUGUACGGACCUUGCCCAAACCUUCCCAAGCUUCAACUCAUCUCCUUAGUCUCAACUCCUCACUUGCUUCACACUUAUACGCAACUCAACUCAACACUAUACUCAUUCCUAGCUUCUAACCGUUCUACUAGUUCUCUAAUCAAGUGAUCAUCCUUAUAUGCAAUCAUAGAAGCUCCAAAGGAAUAACCAUAAGUGUUACCGUUUUCCUUUAGCAUUUUGAAGAGAGCAUCAAGGUCUGAUCUCUUGAUGUAGUCAUCAUUGCUGCGUGAGCUUGAGGCGCCUGUGUAAGCCACCAGAGACUUCCCAUUCCCAUCAUUGCCUCCAAGCCCAUCCGCUUCACUCGCCUUGCUGGUGCCAGCUCCACUUGAACCUUCAGUCACAUUUGCCCUUCCCUCACGCUCCUUCAUGAACUUGGCCGGCUUGAGGUGUGGGUGUAGUAUCCAGCAUUGGCUCUUCUUAUGACCAUGCUUCUUGCAAUGAUCACAGUUGCCAUUGAACUUCCUGUCCUCGUACUUCCCGUGAGAUGCCUUGUUUGCUUGUGGAGUCUCGGUUGAGUCCUCAUGAGCUGCUUGAUUGGCAAGAGAGAGCUCCCCCUUUCCUCCAAACAACCCCAUAGAUCCCUGCUCCCUUUGGAUUUGCGCACACACCUCCUCAAGGUCCGGAAGCUUGUCUGGCCUUAGCAUGUGCUGGAUGAGUUGAGUGUAGGCCGGGUUCAGUGUGAGAAGCAACCCAAAGACCUUGUCUUGCUCGCGCCUCUCAUUCAACUGAUCUGGAUCAGUUGUGCUCGGCCUCAGCAUCUCCAGCUCUGACCAUAAGGACCUGAACCUCCCCAAGUGCUUAGUGAACUCCAUGUCCUCUUGUGCAAGACGGUUGAUCGCUAGCCUCAUUUCAAACACACGGCUGAGGUUGGAAGUGUUCCCAUACACCUUCUUCAGCGUGUCCCACAGCUCCUUGGCUGAUUCACAGUAGCUGUAGGCAUCCAAGAUAGCUGGGUCCAAGGAUGCGUGUAGAACCGUCAUCACCAGCAUGUCUUCUUGUUGCCAUUUCUCCACAGCCGCUUCAUUGGAGACCUCUUCUUGAUCUCCUCCCUGAGUAAUGAGUUUCGGAGCCUCCCCUGUUGUGAUGUGCCCCCACAAACCCUUACUCCCCACCGCAGUCUUCACCAUCCGAGACCACACAAGGUAGUUGCUACCUUUGAAAGUAACCGCUACCUUCAUCCUCAUGUUCAUCCCAUGUUCCAUCUUUGCUUGACUUGAAAACUUGAAUCUUGGAUUUCGUACACACCAACCUUGAGUCUAGAAUCACGCAAACCAACAGAACGUAGCACAGCUUCAACUAGAACGGACCACAGCUUCAACACCUUCAAGACUACUCGCGUGUAGCUUCAAAGACGUUUAGCUUGUAACUCUCUAAAGAUCAAACAAUCAAACCAGGAUGAAUCACUUUGUGAGAAGCUUUAUUUGGAUACAUAAAGUGGUGGAGAAUCACCAGGAAGUUGAAUAAAUAUCAUAGGAGUUGGCGUGAAGUAUGAGAUUAAGAGAUCCUUAGAGUAAACAGAAUAAAGAGAGUGUUUAGGAAGUGAUUAAGAGACGUUUGUGAAAGAUUAGGAGACUAGAUAGAGCCGUUUAGUGUCUAAGAGAAAAGCAUAGUGUCUAAGAGAUUAGAGAGACUCAAACUGCAUAAUCUUCAUUAGGGUUGAUGAGUUACAAUAUAUAGAGUGAGCAUACAAGGGUUUUCGAAAUCAAGAGAAGACUAAAGCAUGUGAGGUCAAUCAGGAGAGGAUAAGCUCAUUUGGACUAGCCAAUUAGCUUCUCCACAUGCGCGGAGUAUCUGGCAUCUUGGACCGAGAUGCUCUUGCCUUUCCAGCUGUUCCAGCCUGUCAAGGCGCGCUCUACCUUAUCCCUAAACGGUCUGAUGCCUCAAGGUAAGUUCCUUCCCUUUACCUUAGUUACCGUGUUACUUGGCUGAUGCAAGGUAAGUCUUGGUCGAUGCUGGAUGGUACGGACUGUACGGCUUGUACGGCCUUGUACGGACGUCCGUACCAUGCUCUCCCUAAACUCCCUCAAGCUUCCUCAUCUCCUUUCCUCUUCAACUCCUUAGCUCUUCAUACAUAUAUUCAGCUCAACUCAACACUCCCCCUCAAGCUUAGCUUUGUACAAGUCUAAGCUUGGACAGCCACAAGAUCUUCCUCAUUAAAAACCUCACCAAAGAAAACCCAAUGGGAUAAAACUUUGAUGAGGGAAAAAGAGUAAAGACCUUGCAGCUAAGGGGAUUAGCUCCUUCUCUUCCCAAGAUCAAUGAGGCCCAACCUGAUGUGAAUGGACUCCAUUGUCUUCUGUCUUGCAGCCUUGGUGAACACAUCCGCUAGCUGAUCUUCACUCCUUGUGUAACAUGGCAAGAUCACCCCUAGCACAAUCAUCUGCCUCACCUUGUGACAAUCAACUUCAAUGUGCUUGGUCCUCUCAUGAAACACCGAGUUGGAUGCAAUGUGGAUGGCAGAUUGAUUGUCACAAUGCAUUGUCAUUGGAGUUGCUUGAUCAAUCUCCAAGUGCUUCAAGAUGCCUUUGAUCCAUACCAACUCGUUGGUGAGCUUCAGCAUGGCUCUAUACUCGGCUUCUGCACUUGAACAUGACACUACCUUCUGCUUCUUGCUCUUCCAAGUCACCAAGUUGCCUCCAAUGAAUGUGCAAUAGCCUGUGGUUGAUCUCCUGUCUGCUCUAUCACCAGCCCAAUCCGCAUCACAGUAUCCCACCACUUCAGUGCUUCCAUUGCAGCCCAUCCAUACUCCUUGAUCAGGUGAGCCGUUGAGAUACAUCAAGAUCCUCUCCACCAUGUGCCAGUGAUGCUCCUUAGGCACUUGCAUGUGUUGACUCACCUGAUUCACAGCAAAGCAGAUGUCAGGUCUAGUUAUAGUAAGAUAAAUCAAUUUGCCAACAAGUUUUCUAUAGAGUUUAGGAUCCUGAUAAGGUUUGCUGUCUUCAAUCUCCCCCUCUCGUGGGACUUUGUAGCCAUCCUCCAUAGGCAUCCUUGCUGACUUGCCUCCAUAAGCACCUGCACCUUUCAAAAGAUCAAGUGUAUAUUUCCUUUGGGACAUGAACAAACCUUCCUUGGAUCUACAUAUCUCAAUUCCAAGGAAGUAUUUCAUUUCUCCCAAGUCUUUAAUCUCAAACAUGGAUUUAAGAAACUCCUUGGUUGCGAUGAUACCUUCCUUAUCACUCCCUGUGAUAAUGAUAUCAUCAACAUACACAAGGAGAGCAAUCAUACCUGAGGGAGUCGUGAGAGUGAAGAGAGUGUGAUCUAGUUCAGACUUCUUGAAGCCUCGGCCAUUCAGAGUAGUGCUCAACUUGUUGUACCAAGCCCUUGGUGAUUGCUUCAGUCCAUAGAUGGCUUUCUUCAAUCUCAGUACAUUCCCACUCUUUACUAAGUGUUCAAGGCCUGGAGGUGGAUGCAUAUACACUUCAUCCUCAAGUUCACCUUGUAGAAACGCAUUCUUCACAUCCAUUUGCCAUAACCCCCAUCCAAGAUUCACAGCCAAGCUUAGUACAAUCCGGAUUGUGUGUAGUUUAGCUACUGGUGCAAAGGUUUCUAUGUAAUCUUCUCCAUAAGUUUGAGUGAACCCUCUUGCAACUAGUCUUGACUUCUUCCUCUCAACCUUUCCAUCCGCUUUGUACUUGAUUGUGAAUAUCCAUCUACUAGUCACAGCCUUCUUCCCUUUUGGUAACUCACUCUCAUACCAUGUAUCAUUCUUGAUCAUUGCUCCUGCCUCAUCUCCAACUGAUUCCUUCCAUUCUUUAUCUUUCAUUGCUUCUUCAUAGCUUCUUGGGAUGUGAUUCUCAUCCAAGUUUACCAUGAAAGCGCAAUGUGCUUCUGGGUAUUGAGGAUGUGAUUCUCAUCCAAGUUUACCAUGAAAGCGCAAUGUGCUUCUGGAUAUUGAGCAAAGGAGCACACGGCUUGAGAAGGAUGCUCCACAGCUUGGGCAUUGUAGUACACUCUCGUGUUUACCCAACUGGAAGGAUCCUUCCUUAUCCUUGUACUCCUUCUUAGUGGCUGCACAACCGGUUCUUCUUCCUGUUGUUCUUCUACCACUUCAUCUUGAGAAGGUGUUUGUGUCACACCAUGAUCAUGUCCAUGACCAUCCGAGCCUAUGCUCUCUUCUCCUUCAUUCUCUACUCCUCCUUCAUCUUGGUUGGCCUCUUGCAUAGGCUCCUCAUGCUCCUCUCCUCCCUCAUGAUCAAGGUGGGAUGGUGAACCAACUUCAGGAGGUGUAGUUGCGUGAUUCCUCGGAUCCUGGGAUGUACUGAUUCCAAGACCUUCAAGAAUGAUCCGCAAGGUGGUGGCCUUGUCUGAUGUUAAGUCCUUCAGGUCUUCUUGAUUCUUUUCUUCAUAGUAUCCUCUAUCUUCCAAGAACUUCACAUCUCUAGAUACAAGAACUCUCCUUGCUAUAGGAUCAUAGCAUUUGUAUCCUUUCUGUGUAGCUGAGUAUCCUAUGAACACAGCCUUAGUGCUUCUUGCUUCUAGCUUGUUGAUCAUCUCUCCUGGUUUGAGUACAAAGCAUAGGCAUCCAAAGACUCGCAAAUAAUCAAGAGAGUUGAUCAUCUCUCCUGGUUUGAGCACAAAGCAUAGACAUCCAAAGACUUUCAAGUAAUCAAGAGCUGGCUUGUACCUGUUCAGAACUUCAAAUGGAGCCUUCUCAUUCAGAACUUUGGUUGGGGUUCUGUUUAUCAAAAUGGAGCCUUCUCAUUCAGAACUUUGGUUGGAGUUCUGUUUAUCAGGUAACAAGCAGUGGCAACCGCAUCACUCCAAAAUCUCUUUGGAACAUUACUCUGAAACAUAAGUGACCUUGCCACUUCCAUGAGAUGCCUAUUCUUCCUCUCAGCCACUCCAUUUUGCUGUGGAGUAUAAGGACAGCUUGUUUGAUGUAGGAUCCCAUGUUGUGAUAGGUGUUGCUUGAAUGCAUGACUCGUGUACUCCCCUCCAUUAUCUGAUCUCAAAAUUUUAAUCUUAGCAUGAUAAUGGUUAGUUACAUAAGUUUGAAAAUUCCUAAAUGCAUCAAGUACCCUAUCUUUGGUCUGAAUUAAGGUUAACCAGGUGUAUUUGGAUUUUUCAUCAAUGAAUGUGACAAAAUACUUAUAACUAUCUCUAGAUAAGCAAGGGGCAGUCCAUACAUCUGAAUGAAUUAGAUCAAAGCAAUUAUCAUAAACACUAUCUCUAGAUAAGCAAGGAGCAGUCCACACAUCUGAAUGAAUUAGAUCAAAGCAAUUAUCAUAAACGGUAGUAGACUUUUGAAACACAGUUCUACAAUGCUUGCCUAAAAUGCAAGCUUCACAAUCCUUAUUCUCAAACACAACACCUGGUACCAUUAAGUUCAAAGCUUUAACAUGAGGGUGUCCUACUCUAGCAUGCCACAAUGCAUUUUUAUUCAACAAAGAAGCAGAAGUAAACGAGCAACUAUAAUCAGGAACAGAAGUGAGUUCUUCAAGCAUAUAGAGAUCUCCCUUAGUCACCCCUUUCCCAAUCAACCUGCUGCUCUCAAUAUCCUGAAACUUCACAUCAUUAGGACUAAAGAUAACAUUGCAUUGUAAAUCAUUAGUACAUUUCUUCACUGAUAAUAGGUUUGAUGUGAAUUCAGGCAUGUAAAAAGCUCUAGAUUCUUUGUUAAACAGCUUAAGCUUUCCUAUUCCUCUAAUGGGUAUCUUAUCCCCAUUUGCUAUCAUCACAUGCCCAUGUGUAGGUUCUAUAUCCUUAAUCAAGUUUUCAUCACUUAUCAUAUGAUGUGAUGCACCAGAAUCAACAAUCAAUGGUUUACCUACUCGUUUAGCAUUAUGGCAUAGAUUACUAAGUGAUGAAUGCAUCUUAUCAGUUCUAGCAAUGUAAGCAUGCCUAUACUCAUUCCUAGCUUCUAACCGUUCUACUAGUUCUCUAAUCAAGUGAUCAUCCUUAUAUGCAAUCAUAGAAGCUCCAAAGGAAUAACCGUAAGUGUUACCGUUUUCCUUUAGCAUUUUGAAGAGGGCAUCAAGGUCUGAUCUCUUGAUGUAGUCAUCAUUGCUGCGGGAGCUUGAAGCGCCUGUGUAAGCCACCAGAGACUUCCCAUUCCCAUCAUUGCCUCCAAGCCCAUCCACUUCACUGAUCUUGCUGGUGCCAGCUCCACUUGAACCUUCAGUCACAUUUGCCCUUCCCUCACGCUCCUUCAUGAACUUGGCCGGCUUGAGGUGUGGGUGCAGUAUCCAGCAUUGGCUCUUCUUAUGACCAUGCUUCUUGCAAUGAUCACAGUUGCCAUUGAACUUCCUGUCCUCGUACUUCCCGUGAGAUGCCUUGUUUGCUUGUGGAGCCUCGGUUGAAUCCUCAUGAGCUGCUUGAUUGGCAAGAGAGAGCUCCCCCUUUCCUCCAAACAAACCCAUAGAUCCCUGCUCCCUUUGGAUUUGUGCACACACCUCCUCAAGGUCCGGAAGCUUGUCUGACCUUAACAUGUGCUGGAUGAGCUGGGUGUAGGCCGGGUUCAGUGUGAGAAGCAGACCAAAGACCUUGUCUUGCUCGCGCCUCUCAUUCAACUGAUCUGGAUCAGUUGUGCUCGGCCUCAGCAUCUCCAGCUCUGACCAUAAGGACCUGAACCUCCCCAAGUGCUUAGUGAACUCCAUGUCCUCUUGUGCCAGACGGUUGAUCGCUAGCUUCACUUCAAACACACGGCUGAGGUUGGAAAUGUUCCCAUACACCUUCUUCAGCGUGUCCCACAGCUCCUUGGCUGAUUCACAGUAGCUGUAGGCAUCCAAGAUAGCUGGGUCCAAGGAUGCGUGUAGAACCGUCAUCACCAGCAUGUCUUCUUGUUGCCAUUUCUCCACAGCCGCUUCAUUGGAGACCUCUUCUUGAUCUCCUCCCUGAGUAAUGAGUUUCGGAGCCUCCCCUGUUGUGAUGUGCCCCCACAAACCCUUACUUCCCACAGCAGUCUUCACCAUCCGAGACCACACAAGGUAGUUGCUACCUUUGAAAGUAACCGCUACCUUCAUCCUCAUGUUCAUCCCCUGUUCCAUCUUUGCUUGACUUGAAAACUUGUAUCUUGGAUCUUGUACACACCAACCUUGAGUCUAGAAUCACGCAAACCCACAGAACGUAGCACAGCUUCAACUAGAACGAACCACAGCUUUAACACCUUCAACACUACUCGUGUGUAGCUUCAAAGACGUUUAGCUUGUAACUCUCUAAAGAUCAAACCCCAGAUUCAAAUGAACCUGGCUCUGAUACCAUAUGAGAUUAAGAGAUCUUUAGAGUGAUUAGAGUAAAGAGAGUGUUUAGGAAGUGAUUAAGAGAAGUUUGUGAAAGAUUAAGAGACUAGGAAGAGCCGUUUAGUGUCUAAGAGAAAACCAUAGUCUAAGAGAUUAGAGAGACUCGAACUGACUGAUUUUAUUAAUGAGUGAGGUUACAUAUUUAUAUAGAAGACAUUAGGGUUUACAAGAGGCGAAAUGGGCACUAUUGAAGCAUGUAGAGUCAAGGUUGCUUUCCGGUUGAUUGGAUGGUAAGGCUCACAGUUUACAAGAGAAGAAAGGAGCACUAUUGAAGCAUGUGGAGUCAAGGGUCGCUUUUGAAUGGACGGAUGGGAAGCCUUACAUGCUUUGGCUCUUUACAGCCUGUCACAGCCUGUCUUGCUCUUCCCUUAUCCACUCAACGGUCUAAUCCCUUCUCCUUAAGUCCCCAAGGUAACACUCCCUUGUUACCGUUUCACUUGGUCGAGUUGGGUAAGUUUUGGUCGAGGCCUUUGGUACGGACGGUACGGCCAUGUACGGCCUUGUACGGACGUCCGUACCAUUCACACCCAAACCCCCUAAGCUUCUCCAUCUCUUCUCCUCUUCAACUCCUCUUCUCUCCAUACCAAUAUAAUCAACUCAACUCAACAAUAACAGUGAAGUAUCGCCACCCUAUUCCUAGAUUAGAUGAUAUGCUUGAUGAGUUGCAUGGUUCUAGUGUCUUUUCUAAGAUAGAUUUGAAGAGUGGAUAUCAUCAAAUAAGAAUGAAAGAGGGAGAUGAGUGGAAAACAGCCUUUAAGACUAAGCAUGGGUUGUAUGAGUGGUUAGUCAUGCCUUUUGGAUUAACCAAUGCUCCUAGCACUUUUAUGAGAUUGAUGAAUCAUGUGCUUAGAUCUUUCAUAGGUUUGUUUGUGGUAGUAUACUUUGAUGAUAUCCUUGUUUACAGUAAGAACCUAGGAGAGCAUAUAGAUCAUCUUAAGUCUGUUCUUGAUGUGUUGAGAAAAGAAAAACUGUUUGCUAACCUUAAGAAAUGCACUUUUUGUACGGAUAACUUGGUCUUCCUAGGCUUUGUUGUGAGUGCAGAUGGCGUAAAGGUGGAUCAAGAGAAGGUGAAAGCAAUACAAGAGUGGCCGAUUCCUAUUUUUUUAGGCUUUGUUGUGAGUGCAGAUGGAGUAAAGGUGGAUCAGGAGAAGGUGAGAGCAAUUCAAGAAUGGCCAAUUCCAAAGACUAUAAGUGAAGUAAGGAGCUUUCACGGCCUUGCUGGCUUCUACCGACGGUUUGUGAAAGACUUUAGCACCAUAGCAGCCCCAUUGACUGAGGUGAUCAAGAAAGAAGUUGGAUUCAAAUGGGGAGAAGCACAAGAACUUGCCUUUCAAUGCCUAAAAGAGAAGCUUACUAAUGCCCCUCUUCUUAUACUUCCUGAUUUCAAUAAAACUUUUGAAAUUGAAUGUGAUGCCUCAGGAAUUGGAAUUGGUGCUGUUCUUAUGCAGGAGAAGAGACCCAUAGCUUAUUUCAGUGAGAAGCUUGGAGGCGCCACUCUCAACUAUGCAACUUAUGAUAAGGAAUUGUAUGCCUUGGUGAGAGCUUUGCAGACUUGGCAGCAUUACUUGUGGCCCAAGGAGUUUGUGAUACACACGGAUCAUGAGUCUCUCAAGUACUUGAAAGGACAGAACAAGCUCAGCAAAAGACACGCAAGGUGGGUUGAGUUCAUUGAGACAUUUCCUUAUGUCAUCAAGUACAAACAAGGUAAAGAAAACAUAGUUGCUGAUGCACUAUCUCGAAGGUAUGUUCUCUUAAACACUCUUGAUGCUAAGUUGUUAGGUUUUGAGCAGAUUAAAGAGAUGUAUGAAUCUGAUCCAGAUUUUAAAGAAGCUUAUAACUCUUGUGAGAAAUUUGCUGCUUGACAUUAUUUUAGACAUGAUGGAUUCCUCUUUUAUGAUAAUAGACUGUGUGUGCCUAAUUGCUCUUUGAGAGAUUUGUUUGUUAGGGAAUCACAUGGAGGAAGUCUCAUGGGUCACUUUGGUAUUGCAAAGACUCUUAAAACCUUGCAGGAUCAUUUCUUUUGGCCUCGGAUGAAAAGUGAUGUGGAGAAACUAUGUGAGAGAUGUGCAACUUGCAAGCAAGCUAAGUCUAAGGUUCAGUCUCACGGUUUGUAUACUCCUCUCCCUAUUCCUUAUCAUCCUUGGAAUGACAUAUCUAUGGAUUUCAUUGUUGGAUUGCCUAGAACUAGGACUGGGAAGGAUUCUAUCUUUGUUGUUGUUGACAGGUUCUCAAAAAUGGCACAUUUCAUAGCAUGUCAUAAAACUGAUGAUGCAUUGCAUGUAGCUAACCUGUUCUUUAAGGAGAUUGUGCGUUUACAUGGUAUGCCUAGGACCAUAGUUUCUGAUAGGGAUACUAAGUUUCUUAGUUAUUUUUGGAAAACUCUUUGGUCUAAGCUAGGCACUAAGUUGUUGUUCUCCACUACUUGUCAUCCGCAAACUGAUGGACAGACUGAAGUAGUUAAUAGAACUCUAGGAACACUCUUGCGUGCAUUCAUUAAAAAGAAUCUGAAAUCUUGGGAAGAUUAUCUGCCACAUUGUGAAUUUGCAUAUAAUCAUGCUGUGCAUUCUGCUUCUAANNNNNNNNNNNNNNNNNNNNNNNNNNNNNNNNNNNNNNNNNNNNNNNNNNNNNNNNNNNNNNNNNNNNNNNNNNNNNNNNNNNNNNNNNNNNNNNNNNNNNNNNNNNNNNNNNNNNNNNNNNNNNNNNNNNNNNNNNNNNNNNNNNNNNNNNNNNNNNNNNNNNNNNNNNNNNNNNNNNNNNNNNNNNNNNNNNNNNNNNNNNNNNNNNNNNNNNNNNNNNNNNNNNNNNNNNNNNNNNNNNNNNNNNNNNNNNNNNNNNNNNNNNNNNNNNNNNNNNNNNNNNNNNNNNNNNNNNNNNNNNNNNNNNNNNNNNNNNNNNNNNNNNNNNNNNNNNNNNNNNNNNNNNNNNNNNNNNNNNNNNNNNNNNNNNNNNNNNNNNNNNNNNNNNNNNNNNNNNNNNNNNNNNNNNNNNNNNNNNNNNNNNNNNNNNNNNNNNNNNNNNNNNNNNNNNNNNNNNNNNNNNNNNNNNNNNNNNNNNNNNNNNNNNNNNNNNNNNNNNNNNNNNNNNNNNNNNNNNNNNNNNNNNNNNNNNNNNNNNNNNNNNNNNNNNNNNNNNNNNNNNNNNNNNNNNNNNNNNNNNNNNNNNNNNNNNNNNNNNNNNNNNNNNNNNNNNNNNNNNNNNNNNNNNNNNNNNNNNNNNNNNNNNNNNNNNNNNNNNNNNNNNNNNNNNNNNNNNNNNNNNNNNNNNNNNNNNNNNNNNNNNNNNNNNNNNNNNNNNNNNNNNNNNNNNNNNNNNNNNNNNNNNNNNNNNNNNNNNNNNNNNNNNNNNNNNNNNNNNNNNNNNNNNNNNNNNNNNNNNNNNNNNNNNNNNNNNNNNNNNNNNNNNNNNNNNNNNNNNNNNNNUUUCACAUUCUUGUCGAUUACGUUAUCGUUUUGAUUGAUCCGAAAGUUUCUUGUGAUUGUGUGACUCGAUCUGUUGUUAGAAUCAUAGAUCAGGAUUUGAUUAUCUCAUUUCAUCAUCCGUUGAAUCUGAUCUGUUAUUGUUUCAAUUUCGAAAGUGAUAGAAUUCAAAUCGUCGCGUGUUGCUCAAGUAUCUUCAUUUGCCGCUUUGUUUGAAUACUUUGUUUCCUUAUUUGAAUCUUGAGUUCUGAAUUCUUUUGAACUACUUACUGGUUUAAGUUUUUCGUGUAUCAGGAAGCAAUGGGGUCUUAGGAGGAUGAUGAAACCUUUGUGCGAAGGAAUAAGUUGUUGCAAGAAGCAAUCACCAAACAAGUGAUGGAAGCGAUGGUGAAGUUGCUGGAAGAGAAGUAUGAUCAGAGACCGAAUGAUGGGCAAGGACAAGCAUCUGGCCAGAGACGUGAGCAAAGAAGAAACAGACAAGGUCAGCGUGAGCAUGCUGGAUCAGAAGAGACUGAUAACUUCUAUGAGAGAGGUAGCCAUAGCUCUGGUUCAAGACAUAGCAGUAGAAGAUCUCGACAUGAUCAUGAGGGCCGAAGGCAUAGAUGCAAUGAGCUAUCAGGAUUAAAGCUUAAGAUCCCUCCUUUCCAUGGUAAAGCUGAUCCAGAUGCCUAUCUUGAGUGGGAGAAGAAGAUCGAACUCGUUUUCAACUGUCAGCAUUACUCAGAGACUAAGAAGAUUCAAUUAGCUGCUACCGAGUUCAAUGAUUAUGCAUUGAGCUGGUGGGAUCAGUUGGUUACAAACAAGAGGCGCAAUGGUGAAUUCCCCAUUGAAACAUGGGCAGAGAUGAAAGCUGUGAUGUGCAAGAGGUUUGUACCAAGUCAUUAUCACCGUGAUCUUCAUCAAAAGCUGAGACUGCUCACACAAGGAACAAAGUCUGUAGAGGAAUACUUUCAAGAGAUGGAGUUGCUUAUGCUAAGAGCUUGUGUAUCUGAGGACAGUGAAGCUACUAUGGCACGAUUUCUUGGUGGACUCAACCGUGAGAUAAAAGAUAGAGUGGAGAUGCAACACUACCUGGAGAUAUAGGAGAUGCUACACAAAGCUAUCUUGGUGGAGCAGCAAGUUAAGAGAAGAAGUUAUGCGCGUGGCAGCUAUGGUUCCAGUAGAUACCAGACCUCUAAGGAAGAUAAACCGAGCUAUCAAAAGGAGAGCAAGCCACAGCCAAAAGAAGAAUCCAGGUCUAGUAGCAUCUACAACAAAGAUAAGGGUAAAGUGGAAGCUACAAGCUCGUGUGCAAGAGAUGUGAAGUGUUUUAAGUGCCAAGGACGUGGGCACUAUGCUAAUGAGUGCACCAACAAACGUGUGAUGAUCCUUCAUGCCAAUGGAGAAUACGAAUCUGCUGAUGAGGAGACAGAGGCCGAAGAAGAUCACAGUUCAGAAGAGGAGUAUGUUGCCAACCCGGUUGCUGGAAGGUUGCUAGUUGCUAGAAGAACCUUGAGUCUUCAAAGCAAGACCGAAGAGAUGGAGCAAAGAGAGAAUCUCUUCUAUACUAGAUGUCUAGUGCAAGGAAAGGUCUGUAGUCUUAUUGUGGAUGGAGGCAGUUGUGUCAACGUUGCGAGUGAGACUAUGGUUAAAAAGUUGGGUUUGAGGGUCCAGAAGCAUCCUAAACCAUAUAGGCUCCAAUGGCUCAAUGAAGAGGGCGAGAUGAGAGUAUCUACUCAGGUUAUGGUUCCCUUAGCCAUUGGUAAAUAUGAAGAUGAGAUUCUUUGUGAUGUGUUGCCUAUGGAAGCUGGACACAUUCUCCUUGGAAGGCCGUGGCAAUCAGAUAGACGUGUGAUACAUGAUGGGUAUGCCAAGAAGCACACUUUUGAGUUUAAAGGGAGAAAGACAGUUCUUGUGCCUAUGACUCCUAAGGAAGUUCAGGUUGAUCAGCUCCAGCUACAAAAGAAGAAAGAGAUUGAUCUUCCCGCUGAAUCAACAAAGCAACUAAACUUCUAUGCUAAGUCUGGUGAUGUUAAAAGAUCUCUCUGCUCUAACCUUCCUAUUCUUUUGUUUAUCUAUAAGGAAUCACUCUUGACUACUACUAAUAUUGCACCGGAGUAUCCGAGUGAACUUGUUACUCUUUUACAGGAAUAUCAAGAUGUUUUUCCAGAAGAUAGUCCCAAUGGACUACCACCAGUGCGAGGGAUUGAGCACCAAAUUGAUUUUGUGCCCGGUUCUACACUUCCCAAUAGGCCAGCAUACAGAACCAAUCCGGUGGAGACCAAAGAACUACAAAGGCAAGUGGAGGAACUGAUGGAGAAAGGACAUAUCCGAGAGAGCAUGAGUCCUUGUGCUGUUCCAGUACUGCUUGUGCCAAAGAAAGAUGGAAGCUGGCGCAUGUGUGUUGAUUGCAGAGCCAUCAACAAUAUAACAGUGAAGUAUCGCCAUCCUCUUCCUAGAUUAGAUGAUAUGCUUGAUGAAUUACAUGGUUCAUGCAUCUUUUCUAAGAUAGAUUUAAAGAGUGGAUACCAUCAGAUUAGGAUGAAAGAAGGAGAUGAGUGGAAAACUGCCUUUAAGACUAAGCAUGGGUUAUAUGAGUGGUUAGUUAUGCCCUUUGGAUUGACUAAUGCACCUAGUACUUUCAUGAGAUUGAUGAACCAUGUGCUUAGAUCCUUUAUAGGUUUGUUUGUGGUAGUCUAUUUUGAUGAUAUCCUAAUCUACAGUCAGAGUCUAGAGGAGCAUAUAGAUCAUCUUAAGACUGUUCUUGAUGUGUUGAGGAAAGAAAGACUUUAUGCAAAUCUUAAGAAAUGUACAUUCUGCACAGAUAACUUGGUCUUUUUAGGCUUUAUUGUGGGUGCAGAUGGGGUUAAAGUUGAUCCGGAGAAAGUAAGAGCUAUACAAGAAUGGCCAAUUCCUAAGACAGUGAGUGAAGUGAGGAGCUUCCAUGGACUUGCUGGCUUCUAUAGGCGCUUUGUGAAAGACUUCAGCACCAUAGCAUCUCCUUUGACUGAAGUAAUCAAGAAAGAAGUCGGAUUCAAGUGGGGAGAAGCGCAAUAACUUGCUUUCCAAUGCCUUAAAGAGAAGCUUACUCAUGCCCCUCUUCUUAUACUUCCUGAUUUUAAUAAAACUUUCGAAAUAGAAUGUGAUGCUUCAGGAAUUGGAAUUGGUGCUGUAUUGAUGCAAGAGAAGAGACCCAUUGCAUACUUCAGUGAGAAGCUUGGAGGAGCUACCCUCAACUAUGCAACUUAUGAUAAAGAACUAUAUGCCUUGGUGAGAGCCUUGCAGACUUGGCAACACUAUCUCUGGCCUAAAGAGUUCGUCAUACACACAGAUCAUGAGUCUCUCAAAUACCUCAAAGGACAGCACAAACUCAGCAAGAGACACACAAGGUGGGUUGAGUUCAUUGAGACAUUUCCUUAUGUCAUCAAGUAUAAACAAGGUAAGGAAAACAUAGUUGCUGAUGCACUAUCCAGAAGGUAUGUUCUCUUGAACACUCUUGAUGCUAAGCUAUUAGGAUUUGAGCAGAUUAAAGGAAUGUAUGAGAAUGAUCCUGAUUUUAAAGAGGCUUACAACUCUUGUGAGAAAUUUGCUGUGGGACACUACUUUAGACAUGAUGGUUUUCUUUUCUAUGAUAAUCGAUUGUGUGUGCCUAACUGUUCUUUGAGAGACUUGUUUGUUAGGGAAUCUCAUGGAGGAAGUCUCAUGGGUCACUUUGGUAUUGCAAAGACUCUUAAAACUUUGCAGGAUCACUUCUUUUGGCCUCGGAUGAAAAGAGAUGUGGAGAAACUAUGUGAGAGAUGUGCAACUUGCAAGCAAGCCAAGUCUAAGGUUCAGUCUCACGGUUUGUAUACUCCUCUCCCUAUACCUUAUCAUCCUUGGAAUGACAUAUAUAUGGAUUUCAUUGUUGGCUUGCCUAGAACUAGGACUGGAAAGGAUUCUAUCUUUGUGGUUGUGGAUAGGUUCUCAAAGAUGGCACAUUUCAUAGCUUGUCACAAAACUGAUGAUGCAUUGCAUAUUGCUAACUUGUUCUUUAAAGAGAUUGUGCGCAUACAUGGCAUGCCUAAGACUAUUGUUUCUGAUAGAGAUACUAAGUUUCUUAGUUAUUUUUGGAAGACUCUUUGGUCUAAGUUAGGUACUAAACUCUUGUUUUCUACUACUUGUCACCCACAAACUGAUGGACAAACUAAAGUAGUUAAUAGGACUCUUGGAACACUCUUGCGUGCAUUCAUAAAGAAAAACAUGAAAUCAUGGGAAGACUAUUUGCCUCAUUGUGAAUUUGCAUACAAUCAUGCUGUGCAUUCUACUUCUAAGUUUUCUCCUUUUGAGAUUGUUUAUGGGUUCAAUCCCAACUCUCCUUUGGAUUUAAUCCCUUUACCUGAGUGUGAAAGGGUCAGCGUUGAUGGCAAAAAGAAGGCAGAGAUGGUGAAACAACUCCACGAGCAGGCUAGGCUCAACAUUGAGGCAACAACCAAACAGUAUGUUAAGCAUGCUAACAAAGGAAGGCGUGAGAUGGUCUUUGAAGUGGGUGAUCAGGUCUGGAUUCACCUAAGGAAAGAGAGGUUUCCCAAUGAAAGGAAGUCCAAGCUGAUGCCGCGGAUUGAUGGACCUUUUGAGGUCAUAAGGAAGAUCAGCAACAAUGCCUACAAACUGGAUUUGCAAGGUAAGUAUGAUGUGAGUAAUAGCUUCAAUGUUACUGACUUGAUCCCUUUUAUUGCAGAUGAGCCAGAUUUGAGGACAAAUCCUUUUCAAGUGAGAGGGGAUGGGAAACUGAUAUGAUCAUGGACCAGCUAGUUGAUAAAGAUGAAGAAGGAGAGACUGAAGAUACACUAGCUGAAGAGGAAGCUGUCCUAGCCAUUCCCACAGGUCCUAUAACUCGUGCAAUGACAAGGAGACUCAAGGAAGCUGUUGGAAACAUACUGAAGAUCUCUAAGGAGCAAGAAGACUGUCUUGGUAGAAGCUUGAGCCACCAAGACACAUUCAUCACCAUUCAUGUGAUCUUACCAUCAAGUCAUACUGAAGAUCUCUAAGGAGCAAGAAGACUAUCUUGGUAGAAGCUUGAGCCACCAAUACACACUCAUCACCAUUCAUGUGAUCUUACCAUCAAGCUGAUCAUCAUCUAGGCAAGUGGCUUGGUAUACUCUUUUUCCCUUGAUUAGUUUUGUCCCACUGGGUUUUCUAAUCAAGGUUUUUAAUGAGGUAUCAAGUUCACUUACACAUUCCUAGAUGAUGUAUCUUGGAUGCAACUCGGCCUAAGGCAUCUUGGACCGACUUCAUCAUCUAUCUUAUAUUAUGUUUUAGUCUAAGUGUUGUGUUAUUACUUUGAAACCGUGUGGAGCCUUUUCCUUUAUGUUUUCUUAUGUUUUCGAGACCUUGUGCAUGUACAAAGAUCUCUCUAUUUAAGUGUAUCACAAACCCUCAUUCUAAUCUAAGUUAUCUUUUGUUUAAACCUUGUGUUUUCUUCUCCCUUGCUUUCACGAGUUAAGAGAGUGUCUGGUGUGUAGUAUCCAGUCUGUUGGUGUGUAAUAUCCAACGCCCAAGGGCUUUAGAAAGGUGUGUCAUAUCCGAUCUAAGCCUAGGAGUAUCAAGGAGCCUUUCCGCAGCCUCUUGUGUCACCAUUCGAUCCACAGCCUUGAUAAACUUGAGUCUUUGAUUCGUUUAUGCAAGGAUCUAUCCAAACCAUCCAGAGAAGGGUCCUAGGAUCUCAUUAAGUGGUAUCAGAGCACUCUGGAAGGGGAGUUUCGAUUUCUCUUUUGAUUGUUCAUAAGAUCUACUCUUUGUCGAUUCAUAUUUUUUGAUCAAUCGGUUCUUGUGUGUUUAUUCUCACUUGAUCUGCUUGUUUCAUUAUCAGGAUUGCUAGAUCUGAUUGUUUUGUGUCUCAUAUUGAUAGAUCUAAGAAUUUCGAUCAAGUUUUAAACAAAAAAACCUUUCACAUUCUUGUCGAUUACGUUAUCAUUUUGCUUGAUCCGAAAGUUUCUUGUAAUAUUGUGACUCGAUCUGUUGUUAGAAUCAUAGAUCAGGAUUUGACUAUCUCAUUUCAUCAUCCGUUGAAUCUGAUCUGUUAUUGUUUCAAUUUCGAAAGUGAUAGAAUUCAAAUCGUCGCGUGUUGCUCAAGUAUCUUCAUUUGCCGCUUUGUUUGAAUACUUUGUUUCCUUAUUUGAAUCUUGAGUUCUGAAUUCUCUUGAACUACUUACUGGUUUAAGUUUUUCGUGUAUCAGGAAGCAAUGGGGUCUUAGGAGGAUGAUGAAACCUUUGUGCGAAGGAAUAAGUUGUUGCAAGAAGCAAUCACCAAACAAGUGAUGGAAGCGAUGGUGAAGUUGCUGGAAGAGAAGUAUGAUCAGAGACCGAAUGAUGGGCAAGGACAAGCAUCUGGCCAGAGACGUGAGCAAAGAAGAAACAGACAAGGUCAGCGUGAGCAUGCUGGAUCAGAAGAGACUGAUAACUUCUAUGAGAGAGGUAGCCAUAGCUCUGGUUCAAGACAUAGCAGUAGAAGAUCUCGACAUGAUCAUGAGGGCCGAAGGCAUAGAUGCAAUGAGCUAUCAGGAUUAAAGCUUAAGAUCCCUCCUUUCCAUGGUAAAGCUGAUCCAGAUGCCUAUCUUGAGUGGGAGAAGAAGAUCGAACUCGUUUUCAACUGUCAGCAUUACUCAGAGACUAAGAAGAUUCAAUUAGCUGCUACCGAGUUCAAUGAUUAUGCAUUGAGCUGGUGGGAUCAGUUGGUUACAAACAAGAGGCGCAAUGGUGAAUUCCCCAUUGAAACAUGGGCAGAGAUGAAAGCUGUGAUGUGCAAGAGGUUUGUACCAAGUCAUUAUCACCGUGAUCUUCAUCAAAAGCUGAGACUGCUCACACAAGGAACAAAGUCUGUAGAGGAAUACUUUCAAGAGAUGGAGUUGCUUAUGCUAAGAGCUUGUGUAUCUGAGGACAGUGAAGCUACUAUGGCACGAUUUCUUGGUGGACUCAACCGUGAGAUAAAAGAUAGAGUGGAGAUGCAACACUACCUGGAGAUAUAGGAGAUGCUACACAAAGCUAUCUUGGUGGAGCAGCAAGUUAAGAGAAGAAGUUAUGCGCGUGGCAGCUAUGGUUCCAGUAGAUACCAGACCUCUAAGGAAGAUAAACCGAGCUAUCAAAAGGAGAGCAAGCCACAGCCAAAAGAAGAAUCCAGGUCUAGUAGCAUCUACAACAAAGAUAAGGGUAAAGUGGAAGCUACAAGCUCGUGUGCAAGAGAUGUGAAGUGUUUUAAGUGCCAAGGACGUGGGCACUAUGCUAAUGAGUGCACCAACAAACGUGUGAUGAUCCUUCAUGCCAAUGGAGAAUACGAAUCUGCUGAUGAGGAGACAGAGGCCGAAGAAGAUCACAGUUCAGAAGAGGAGUAUGUUGCCAACCCGGUUGCUGGAAGGUUGCUAGUUGCUAGAAGAACCUUGAGUCUUCAAAGCAAGACCGAAGAGAUGGAGCAAAGAGAGAAUCUCUUCUAUACUAGAUGUCUAGUGCAAGGAAAGGUCUGUAGUCUUAUUGUGGAUGGAGGCAGUUGUGUCAACGUUGCGAGUGAGACUAUGGUUAAAAAGUUGGGUUUGAGGGUCCAGAAGCAUCCUAAACCAUAUAGGCUCCAAUGGCUCAAUGAAGAGGGCGAGAUGAGAGUAUCUACUCAGGUUAUGGUUCCCUUAGCCAUUGGUAAAUAUGAAGAUGAGAUUCUUUGUGAUGUGUUGCCUAUGGAAGCUGGACACAUUCUCCUUGGAAGGCCGUGGCAAUCAGAUAGACGUGUGAUACAUGAUGGGUAUGCCAAGAAGCACACUUUUGAGUUUAAAGGGAGAAAGACAGUUCUUGUGCCUAUGACUCCUAAGGAAGUUCAGGUUGAUCAGCUCCAGCUACAAAAGAAGAAAGAGAUUGAUCUUCCCGCUGAAUCAACAAAGCAACUAAACUUCUAUGCUAAGUCUGGUGAUGUUAAAAGAUCUCUCUGCUCUAACCUUCCUAUUCUUUUGUUUAUCUAUAAGGAAUCACUCUUGACUACUACUAAUAUUGCACCGGAGUAUCCGAGUGAACUUGUUACUCUUUUACAGGAAUAUCAAGAUGUUUUUCCAGAAGAUAGUCCCAAUGGACUACCACCAGUGCGAGGGAUUGAGCACCAAAUUGAUUUUGUGCCCGGUUCUACACUUCCCAAUAGGCCAGCAUACAGAACCAAUCCGGUGGAGACCAAAGAACUACAAAGGCAAGUGGAGGAACUGAUGGAGAAAGGACAUAUCCGAGAGAGCAUGAGUCCUUGUGCUGUUCCAGUACUGCUUGUGCCAAAGAAAGAUGGAAGCUGGCGCAUGUGUGUUGAUUGCAGAGCCAUCAACAAUAUAACAGUGAAGUAUCGCCAUCCUCUUCCUAGAUUAGAUGAUAUGCUUGAUGAAUUACAUGGUUCAUGCAUCUUUUCUAAGAUAGAUUUAAAGAGUGGAUACCAUCAGAUUAGGAUGAAAGAAGGAGAUGAGUGGAAAACUGCCUUUAAGACUAAGCAUGGGUUAUAUGAGUGGUUAGUUAUGCCCUUUGGAUUGACUAAUGCACCUAGUACUUUCAUGAGAUUGAUGAACCAUGUGCUUAGAUCCUUUAUAGGUUUGUUUGUGGUAGUCUAUUUUGAUGAUAUCCUAAUCUACAGUCAGAGUCUAGAGGAGCAUAUAGAUCAUCUUAAGACUGUUCUUGAUGUGUUGAGGAAAGAAAGACUUUAUGCAAAUCUUAAGAAAUGUACAUUCUGCACAGAUAACUUGGUCUUUUUAGGCUUUAUUGUGGGUGCAGAUGGGGUUAAAGUUGAUCCGGAGAAAGUAAGAGCUAUACAAGAAUGGCCAAUUCCUAAGACAGUGAGUGAAGUGAGGAGCUUCCAUGGACUUGCUGGCUUCUAUAGGCGCUUUGUGAAAGACUUCAGCACCAUAGCAUCUCCUUUGACUGAAGUAAUCAAGAAAGAAGUCGGAUUCAAGUGGGGAGAAGCGCAAUAACUUGCUUUCCAAUGCCUUAAAGAGAAGCUUACUCAUGCCCCUCUUCUUAUACUUCCUGAUUUUAAUAAAACUUUCGAAAUAGAAUGUGAUGCUUCAGGAAUUGGAAUUGGUGCUGUAUUGAUGCAAGAGAAGAGACCCAUUGCAUACUUCAGUGAGAAGCUUGGAGGAGCUACCCUCAACUAUGCAACUUAUGAUAAAGAACUAUAUGCCUUGGUGAGAGCCUUGCAGACUUGGCAACACUAUCUCUGGCCUAAAGAGUUCGUCAUACACACAGAUCAUGAGUCUCUCAAAUACCUCAAAGGACAGCACAAACUCAGCAAGAGACACACAAGGUGGGUUGAGUUCAUUGAGACAUUUCCUUAUGUCAUCAAGUAUAAACAAGGUAAGGAAAACAUAGUUGCUGAUGCACUAUCCAGAAGGUAUGUUCUCUUGAACACUCUUGAUGCUAAGCUAUUAGGAUUUGAGCAGAUUAAAGGAAUGUAUGAGAAUGAUCCUGAUUUUAAAGAGGCUUACAACUCUUGUGAGAAAUUUGCUGUGGGACACUACUUUAGACAUGAUGGUUUUCUUUUCUAUGAUAAUCGAUUGUGUGUGCCUAACUGUUCUUUGAGAGACUUGUUUGUUAGGGAAUCUCAUGGAGGAAGUCUCAUGGGUCACUUUGGUAUUGCAAAGACUCUUAAAACUUUGCAGGAUCACUUCUUUUGGCCUCGGAUGAAAAGAGAUGUGGAGAAACUAUGUGAGAGAUGUGCAACUUGCAAGCAAGCCAAGUCUAAGGUUCAGUCUCACGGUUUGUAUACUCCUCUCCCUAUACCUUAUCAUCCUUGGAAUGACAUAUAUAUGGAUUUCAUUGUUGGCUUGCCUAGAACUAGGACUGGAAAGGAUUCUAUCUUUGUGGUUGUGGAUAGGUUCUCAAAGAUGGCACAUUUCAUAGCUUGUCACAAAACUGAUGAUGCAUUGCAUAUUGCUAACUUGUUCUUUAAAGAGAUUGUGCGCAUACAUGGCAUGCCUAAGACUAUUGUUUCUGAUAGAGAUACUAAGUUUCUUAGUUAUUUUUGGAAGACUCUUUGGUCUAAGUUAGGUACUAAACUCUUGUUUUCUACUACUUGUCACCCACAAACUGAUGGACAAACUAAAGUAGUUAAUAGGACUCUUGGAACACUCUUGCGUGCAUUCAUAAAGAAAAACAUGAAAUCAUGGGAAGACUAUUUGCCUCAUUGUGAAUUUGCAUACAAUCAUGCUGUGCAUUCUACUUCUAAGUUUUCUCCUUUUGAGAUUGUUUAUGGGUUCAAUCCCAACUCUCCUUUGGAUUUAAUCCCUUUACCUGAGUGUGAAAGGGUCAGCGUUGAUGGCAAAAAGAAGGCAGAGAUGGUGAAACAACUCCACGAGCAGGCUAGGCUCAACAUUGAGGCAACAACCAAACAGUAUGUUAAGCAUGCUAACAAAGGAAGGCGUGAGAUGGUCUUUGAAGUGGGUGAUCAGGUCUGGAUUCACCUAAGGAAAGAGAGGUUUCCCAAUGAAAGGAAGUCCAAGCUGAUGCCGCGGAUUGAUGGACCUUUUAAGGUCAUAAGGAAGAUCAGCAACAAUGCCUACAAACUGGAUUUGCAAGGUAAGUAUGAUGUGAGUAAUAGCUUCAAUGUUACUGACUUGAUCCCUUUUAUUGCAGAUGAGCCAGAUUUGAGGACAAAUCCUUUUCAAGUGGGAGGGGAUGAUAUGAUCAUGGACCAGCUAGUUGAUAAAGAUGAAGAAGGAGAGACUGAAGAUACACUAGCUGAAGAGGAAGCUGUCCUAGCCAUUCCCACAGGUCCUAUCACUCGUGCAAUGACAAGGAGACUCAAGGAAGCCGUUGGAAACAUACUGAAGAUCUCUAAGAAGCAAGAAGACUGUCUUGGUAGAAGCUUGAGCCACCAAGACACACUCAUNNNNNNNNNNNNNNNNNNNNNNNNNNNNNNNNNNNNNNNNNNNNNNNNNNNNNNNNNNNNNNNNNNNNNNNNNNNNNNNNNNNNNNNNNNNNNNNNNNNNNNNNNNNNNNNNNNNNNNNNNNNNNNNNNNNNNNNNNNNNNNNNNNNNNNNNNNNNNNNNNNNNNNNNNNNNNNNNNNNNNNNNNNNNNNNNNNNNNNNNNNNNNNNNNNNNNNNNNNNNNNNNNNNNNNNNNNNNNNNNNNNNNNNNNNNNNNNNNNNNNNNNNNNNNNNNNNNNNNNNNNNNNNNNNNNNNNNNNNNNNNNNNNNNNNNNNNNNNNNNNNNNNNNNNNNNNNNNNNNNNNNNNNNNNNNNNNNNNNNNNNNNNNNNNNNNNNNNNNNNNNNNNNNNNNNNNNNNNNNNNNNNNNNNNNNNNNNNNNNNNNNNNNNNNNNNNNNNNNNNNNNNNNNNNNNNNNNNNNNNNNNNNNNNNNNNNNNNNNNNNNNNNNNNNNNNNNNNNNNNNNNAAGAGUGUCUAUCUCGGUGUGUCAUAUCCGAUCUAGUCACUUAGGAGUAUCAAGGAGCCUUUCCGCAGCCUCUUGUGUCACCAUUCGAUCCACAACCUUGUAGAGCUUGAGUCUUUGAUUCGUUCUAGCAAGGAUCUAUCCCAUUCUAUCCAGAGAAGCAAUCUAGGGACGUAUUAUGUGGUAUCAGAGCAUCUCUGGUUAGGGAAGUACUCGUUUCUCUUUUUGUUUCGAUUUAACCUGUUCAUCUUCUUGAUCAGUUUUUAGAUCGAUCAGUUUUGUUUCAACUGAUCUGUUCUUUGUUUCGCAAUAUCCAUUGAUUGAUCUGAGAUCCGUGGUCGUUUGAGUGUGUGAUCUAAUCAUUUUGUGUCGAUCUAAUUGUUAAGAGUUUGAACUUGAUAGAUCUAGGUUUCGCGAGUUUAGAUCCGAUUGUUAUCGAUUCAUAUUCUAGAUCUGAUCUUUAGUUUGAAUCUAAUUGAUCGUGUGAUCUGUUUUAAAUCAUCUUUAAACAUCUAGAUCUACUUGUGUGUCGUUGAAAUCUGAUUAACAAACCUACCCUGAUCGCGUUUCUAUUGUGAUUUACUUGUUGUCGAUUUAAAUUCUUGUUACUUGAUAAUCAAGUUUUCUUUUACCGCCAGUUUAUUUCAGUUUAAAAUCUCUUGAUCAUCUACUGAUUACGAUCAGUUUAUUGGAACUAUUUACUGGUUGAGUGUUGUUAUUGAUUCUAGGUACCAAUGGGGAGAGAAUCAGAAGAAGAAGCCGAGCUAGUAAGGAAGAACAAGAUGCUGAGAGAUCAAAUGACCGAGCAAAUGAAUCAGACCAUGAUCUCUACUAUGGCUGAUAUGCUUAAGGCUAGCAUGAAGGAAUUACGUGAAGAGAUGAGACAAGAGUUGAGGCAAGCUACUGGCCAGGGUCAUAGCAAUGAGUCUAGAAGGAACCGGCCUACUCCAGUACGGCAAGAGCAUGCGGGUUCACAAGAGACCGACAACUACUACUCGCGCAAUAGAACUGAGCACAACCCAACUGAGCGCAGUAGUUCUUCUUCUGAACUGAGCAGAGGAAGAUCAAGGCGUGAACAUGAUGGAAGGGGGUCACGCAAAGACAAGCUUUCAGGACUUAAGCUUAAGAUUCCACCCUUCCAUGGCAAGGUGGAUCCAGAUGCCUACUUGGAAUGGGAAAAGAAGAUCGAGCUUGUCUUCAAUUGCCAACACUACUCUAAUGCCCAAAGGAUCAAGAUUGCAGCAACUGAAUUCUAUGAUUAUGCGUUGAGUUGGUGGGAUCAGCUUGUAACUACUAGACGGCUUAACCAAGAGAAUCCGGUUGAUUCAUGGCACGAGAUGAAGUCACUCAUGCGCAAACGGUUUGUUCCAAGCCAUUAUCACCGUGACCUACAUCAAAAGCUACGGAGACUUACCCAAGGAACACGAACUGUUGAAGAAUACUAUCAAGACAUGGAGUUGCUGAUGUUGAGAGCUAGUAUCUUGGAGGAUAGAGAAGCUACUAUGGCAAGGUUUCUUGGAGGACUUAACCGCGAGAUACAAGACAAUGUGGAGAUGCAACACUAUGUGGAAAUAGAAGAGAUGUUGCACAAAGCUAUUCUAGUGGAGCAGCAGCUCAAGAGGAAGGGUAACUCACGCAGCUAUGGAUCGUCUAAGUUCCACCACUCUAAAGAAGAGAAAACAUCCUAUCUGAAGGAUAGCAAGCCUCAGCAGAAAGAAGAGACUAAGCCGAGCAGCAUAUACAGCAAAGACAAAGGCAAAGCUGAAAUUACUAGUUCAAGAACUAGAGAUGUUAAGUGCUUCAAAUGUCAAGGGCGUGGGCAUUAUGCUAAUGAGUGCACCAACAAAAAGGUUAUGAUUCUUCUUGAGAAUGGAGAGUAUGAAUCAGAAGAAGAAAAGUUUGAUUCUGAUCAUGAGAAGUCUGAAGAAGAAAGUGAAGUAGAACCCGUGAAAGGAAGGUUGUUGGUAACAAGAAGGCUCUUGAACUUGCAAGCCAAGAAUGGAGAGCUUGAGCAGCGAGAGAAUCUAUUCUACACAAGGUGUAUGGUUCAGGGAAAGGUGUGCAGUCUCAUUAUUGAUGGAGGAAGUUGUGUCAAUGUAGCUAGUAAGACUAUGGUGAAGAAAUUGGGUUUGAAGAUUCAGAAACACCCAAGACCCUACAGAUUGCAGUGGCUCAAUGAAGAGGGCGAGAUGAAAGUUUCUACUCAAGUACUGGUUCCUAUAGCCAUUGGUAGAUAUGAAGAUGAAGUCUUGUGUGAUGUGUUGCCAAUGGAAGCCAGUCAUAUACUCCUUGGAAGACCCUGGCAGUAUGAUAGACGCGUGAAUCAUGAUGGCUUCACCAACAAACAUUCUUUUGAAUUCAACGGAAAGAAGACUGUGCUGGUGCCUUUGUCUCCUAAAGAGGUUCAUGAAGAUCAAAUCCAGCUUCAGAAAAAGAAAGCAAAAGAGAUUGAUCUCAAACCUGAUCAUGACAAGCAUCACAGCCUCUAUGCCAAACAGGGAGAUAUCAAAAGAAUUCUCUACUCUCAAAAUUCUAUUAUCUUGCUUAGGUUUAAAGGGACUCUUCUAACAGUUACUGAUCACACACCGGAUCAUCCGAGUGAACUAGUUUCUUUUUUACAGGAAUAUGCAGAUGUGUUUCCAGAGGAUAGCCCCAUUGGAUUACCUCCAGUGCGUGGGAUUGAGCACCAAAUAGACUUUGUGCCUGGUUCUACACUGCCCAACCGUCCAGCAUACAGGACCAAUCCAGUUGAAACCAAAGAACUGCAAAAACAAGUAGAGGAGCUGAUGGAGAAGGGUCAUAUCCGAGAGAGUUUGAGUCCUUGUGCAGUUCCUAAUGAGAUCCUAGGACCCUUCUCUGGAUGGUUUGGAUAAAUCCUUGCAUAAACGAAUCAAAGACUCAAGUUUAUCAAGGCUGUGGAUCGAAUGGUGACACAAGAGGCUGCGGAAAGGCUCCUUGAUACUCCUAGACUUAGAUCGGAUAUGACACACCUUUCUAAAGCCCUUGGGCGUUGGAUAUUACACACCAACAGACUGGAUACUACACACCAGACACUCUCUUAACUCGUGAAAGCAAGGGAGAAGAAAACACAAGGUUUAAACAAAAGAUAACUUAGAUUAGAAUGAGGGUUUGUGAUACACUUAAAUAGAGAGAUCCUUGUACAUGCACAAGGUCUCGAAAACAUAAGAAAACUUAAAGGAAAAGGCUCCACACGGUUUCAAAGUAAUAACACAACACUUAGACUAAAACAUAAUAUAAGAUAGAUGAUGAAGUCGGUCCAAGAUGCCUUAGGCCGAGUUGCAUCCAAGAUACAUCAACUAGGAAUGUGUAAGUGAACUUGAUACCUCAUUAAAAACCUUGAUUAGAAAACCCAGUGGGACAAAACUAAUCAAGGGAAAAAGAGUAUACCAAGCCACUUGCCUAGAUGAUGAUCAGCUUGAUGGUAAGAUCACAUGAAUGGUCAUGAGUGUGUCUUGGUAGCUCAAGCUUCUACCAAGACAGUCUUCUUGCUUCUUAGAGAUCUUCAGUAUGUUUCCAACGGCUUCUUUGAGUCUCCUUGUCAUUGCACGAGUGAUAGGACCUGUGGGAAUGGCUAGGACAGCUUCCUCUUCAGCUAGUGUAUCUUCAGUCUCUCCUUCUUCAUCUUUAUCAACUAGCUGGUCCAUGAUCAUAUCAUCCCCUCCCACUUGAAAAGGAUUUGUCCUCAAAUCUGGCUCAUCUGCAAUAAAAGGGAUCAAGUCAGUAACAUUGAAGCUAUUACUCACAUCAUACUUACCUUGCAAAUCCAGUUUGUAGGCAUUGUUGCUGAUCUUCCUUAUGACCUUAAAAGGUCCAUCAAUCCGCGGCAUCAGCUUGGACUUCCUUUCAUUGGGAAACCUCUCUUUCCUUAGGUGAAUCCAGACCUGAUCACCCACUUCAAAGACCAUCUCACGCCUUCCUUUGUUAGCAUGCUUAACAUACUGUUUGGUUGUUGCCUCAAUGUUGAGCCUAGCCUGCUCGUGGAGUUGUUUCACCAUCUCUGCCUUCUUUUUGCCAUCAAUGCUGAUCCUUUCACACUCAGGUAAAGGAAUUAAAUCCAAAGGAGAGUUGGGAUUGAACCCAUAAACAAUCUCAAAAGGAGAAAAAUUAGAAGUAGAAUGCACAGCAUGAUUGUAUGCAAAUUCACAAUGAGGCAAAUAGUCUUCCCAUGAUUUCAAGUUUUUCUUUAUGAAUGCACGCAAGAGUGUUCCUAGAGUCCUAUUAACUACUUCAGUUUGUCCAUCAGUUUGUGGAUGACAAGUAGUAGAAAACAAGAGUUUAGUACCUAGCUUAGACCAAAGAGUCUUCCAAAAAUAACUAAGAAACUUAGUAUCUCUAUCAGAAACAAUAGUCUUAGGCAUGCCAUGAAUGCGCACAAUCUCUUUAAAGAACAAGUUAGCAAUAUGCAAUGCAUCAUCAGUUUUGUGACAAGCUAUGAAAUGUGCCAUCUUUGAGAACCUAUCCACAACCACAAAGAUAGAAUCCUUUCCAGUCCUAGUUCUAGGCAAGCCAACAAUGAAAUCCAUAGAUAUGUCAUUCCAAGGAUGAUAAGGUAUAGGGAGAGGAGUAUACAAACCGUGAGACUGAACCUUAGACUUGGCUUGUUUGCAAGUUGCACAUCUCUCACAUAGUUUCUCCACAUCUCUUUUCAUCCGAGGCCAAAAGAAAUGAUCCUGCAAAGUUUUAAGAGUCUUUGCAAUACCAAAGUGACCCAUGAGACUUCCUCCAUGAGAUUCCCUAACAAACAAGUCUCUCAAAGAACAGUUAGGCACACACAAUCGAUUAUCAUAGAAAAGAAAACCAUCAUGCCUAAAGUAGUGUCCCUCAGCAAAUUUCUCACAAGAGUUGUAAGCUUCUUUAAAAUCAGGAUCAUUCUCAUACAUUCCUUUAAUCUGCUCAAAUCCUAAUAGCUUAGCAUCAAGAGUGUUCAAGAGAACAUACCUUCUGGAUAGUGCAUCAGCAACUAUGUUUUCCUUACCUUGUUUAUACUUGAUGACAUAAGGAAAUGUCUCAAUGAACUCAACCCACCUAGCGUGUCUCUUGCUGAGUUUGUGCUGUCCUUUGAGGUAUUUGAGAGACUCAUGAUCUGUGUGUAUGACGAACUCUUUAGGCCAGAGGUAGUGUUGCCAAGUCUGCAAGGCUCUCACCAAGGCAUAUAGUUCUUUAUCAUAAGUUGCAUAGUUGAGGGUAGCUCCUCCAAGCUUCUCACUGAAGUAUGCAAUGGGUCUCUUCUCCUGCAUCAAUACAGCACCAAUUCCAAUUCCUGAAGCAUCACAUUCUAUUUCAAAAGUUUUAUUAAAAUCAGGAAGUAUAAGAAGAGGGGCAUUAGUAAGCUUCUCUUUUAGGCAUUGAAAGGCAAGUUCUUGUGCUUCUCCCCACUUGAAUCCGACUUCUUUCUUGAUUACUUCAGUCAAGGGAGAUGCUAUGGUGCUGAAGUCUUUCACAAAGCGCCUAUAGAAACCAGCAAGUCCAUGGAAGCUCCUCACUUCACUCACUGUCUUAGGAAUUGGCCAUUCUCGUAUAGCUCUUACUUUCUCCGGAUCAACUUUAACUCCAUCUGCACCCACAAUAAAGCCUAAAAAGACCAAGUGAUCCGUUCCAAAAGUACACUUCUUAAGGUUAGCAAAAAGAGAUUCCUUUCUAAGCACAUCAAGAACAGCUCUAAGAUGUUCUAUAUGAUCAUUAAAGCUCUUACUGUAUACAAGGAUGUCAUCAAAGUAUACCACAACAAAUAUGCCAAUGAAUGAUCUAAGAACAUGAUUCAUUAAUCUCAUGAAUGUGCUAGGUGCAUUGGUUAAUCCAAACGGCAUGACUAACCACUCAUAUAGACCAUGUUUAGUUUUGAAUGCAGUUUUCCAUUCAUCUCCUUCUUUCAUCCUAAUCUGAUGGUAUCCACUUUUCAAAUCAAUCUUAGAAAAUAUGCAAGAACCAUGCAAUUCAUCAAGCAUAUCAUCUAAUCUAGGAAUAGGAUGGCGAUACUUUACAGUGAUAUUGUUGAUGGCUCUGCAAUCAACACACAUGCGCCAGCUCCCAUCUUUCUUGGGCACAAGUAGCACUGGAACAGCACAAGGGCUCAUGCUCUCUCGGAUAUGCCCUUUCUCCAUCAGUUCCUCCACUUGCCUUUGUAGUUCUUUGGUCUCCACCGGAUUGGUUCUGUAUGCUGGCCUAUUGGGAAGUGUAGAACCGGGCACAAAAUCAAUUUGGUGCUCAAUCCCUCGUACUGGUGGUAGUCCAUUGGGACUAUCUUCUGGAAAUACAUCUUGAUAUUCCUGUAGAAGAUUGACAAGUUCACUCGGAUACUCCGGUGCAAUGUUAGUAGUAGUCAAGAGGGAUUCCUUAUAGAUAAACAAAAGAAUAGGAAGGUUAGAGCAGAGAGAUCUUUUAACAUCACCAGACUUGGCAUAGAAGUUUAGUUGCUUUGUUGAUUCAGCGGGUAGAUCUAUCUCUUUCUUCUUUUGUAGCUGGAGCUGAUCAACCUGAACUUCCUUAGGAGUCAUAGGCACAAGGACUGUCUUUCUCCCUUUAAACUCAAAGGUGUGCUUGUUGGCAUACCCAUCAUGUAUCACACGUCUAUCUGAUUGCCACGGCCUUCCAAGGAGAAUGUGUCCAGCUUCCAUAGGCAACACAUCACAAAGAAUCUCAUCUUCAUAUUUACCAAUGGCUAAGGGAACCAUAACCUGAGUAGCUACUCUCAUCUCGCCCUCUUCAUUGAGCCAUUGGAGCCUAUAUGGUUUAGGAUGCUUCUGGACCCUCAAACCCAACUUUUUAACCAUAGUCUCACUCGCAACGUUGACACAACUGCCUCCAUCCACAAUAAGACUACAGACCUUUCCUUGCACUAGACAUCUAGUAUAGAAGAGAUUCUCUCUUUGCUCCAUCUCCUCGGUCUUGCUUUGAAGACUCAAGGUUCUUCUAGCAACUAGCAAUCUUCCAGCAACCGGGUUGGCAACAUACUCCUCUUCUGAACUGUGAUCUUCUUCGGCUUCUGUCUCAUCAUCAGCAGAUUCAUAUUCUCCAUUGGCAUGAAGGAUCAUCACACGUUUGUUGGUACAUUCAUUAGCAUAGUGCCCACGCCCUUGGCACUUAAAACACUUCACAUCUCUUGCACGCGAGCUUGUAGCUUCCACUUUACCCUUAUCUUUGUUGUAGAUGCUACUAGACUUGGCUUCUUCUUUUGGCUGUGGCUUGCUCUCCUUUUGAUAGCUCGGUUUAUCUUCCUUAGAGGUCUGGUAUCUAUUGGAACCAUAGCUGCCACGCGCAUGACUUCUUCUCUUAACUUGCUGCUCCACCAAGAUAGCUUUGUGUAGCAUUUCCUCUAUCUCCAAGUAGUGUUGCAUCUCCACUCUAUCUUGUAUCUCACGGUUGAGUCCACCAAGGAACCGUGCCAUGGUAGCUUCACUGUCCUCAGAUACACAAGCUCUUAGCAUAAGCAACUCCAUCUCUUGAAAGUAUUCCUCUACAGACUUUGAUCCUUGUGUGAGCAGUCUCAGCUUUUGAUGAAGAUCACGGUGAUAAUGGCUUGGUACAAACCUCUUACGCAUCACAGCUUUCAUCUCUGCCCAUGUUUCAAUGGGAAAUUCACCAUUGCGCCUCUUGUUUGUAACCAACUGAUCCCACCAGCUCAAUGCAUAGUCAUUGAACUCGGUAGCAGCUACCUGAAUCUUCUUAGUCUCUGAGUAAUGCUGACAGUUGAAAACGAGUUCGAUCUUCUUCUCCCACUCAAGAUAGGCAUCUGGAUCAGCUUUACCAUGGAAAGGAGGAAUCUUAAGCUUUAACCCUGAUAGCUCAUUGCGUCUAUGCCUCCGGCCCUCAUGAUCACGUCGAGAUCUUCUACUGCUACGUCUUGAACCGGAGCUAUGGCUACUUCUCUCAUAGAAGUUAUCAGUCUCUUCUGAUCCAGCAUGCUCACGCUGACCUUGUCUGUUUCUUCUUGGCUCAUGUCUUGAACCAGAUGCUUGUCCUUGCCCAUCAUGCGGUCUCUGAUCAUACUUCUCUUCCAGUAACUUCACCAUCGCUUCCAUCACUUGUUUGGUGAUUGCUUCUUGCAGCAAUCUAUUCCUUCGCACAAAGGUUUCAUCAUCCUCCUCAGACCCCAUUGCUUCCUGAUACACGAAAAACUUGAACCAGUAAGUAGUUCAAAAGAAUUCAGAACUCAAGAUUCAAAUAAGGAAACAAAGUAUUCAAACAAAGCGGCAAAUGAAGAUACUUGAUCAACACGCGACGAUUUGAAUUCAAUUUUUUUCGAAAAUGAAACAAUAACAGAUCAGAUUCAACGGAUGAUGAAAUGAGAUAAUCAAAUCCUGAUCUAUGAUUCUAACAACAGAUCGAGUCACACAAUCACAAGAAACUUUCGGAUCAAUCAAAACGAUAACGUAAUCGACAAGAAUGUGAAAAGGUUUUUGCUCAAAACUUGAUCGAAAUUCUUAGAUCUAUCAGUAUGAGACACGAAACAAUUAGAUCUAGCAAUCCUGAUAAUGAAACAAGCAGAUCAAGUGAGAAUAAACACACAAGAACCGAUUGAUCAAGAAAAAUAUGAAUCGACAAAGAGUAGAUCUUUUAAGAAAUCGCAAAAGAGAAAUCGAAACUCCCCUUCCAGAGUGCUCUGAUACCACUUAAUGAGAUCCUAGGACCCUUCUCUGGAUGGUUUGGAUAAAUCCUUGCAUAAACGAAUCAAAGACUCAAGUUUAUCAAGGCUGUGGAUCGAAUGGUGACACAAGAGGCUGCGGAAAGGCUCCUUGAUACUCCUAGACUUAGAUCGGAUAUGACACACCUUUCUAAAGCCCUUGGGCGUUGGAUAUUACACACCAACAGACUGGAUACUACACACCAGACACUCUCUUAACUCGUGAAAGCAAGGGAGAAGAAAACACAAGGUUUAAACAAAAGAUAACUUAGAUUAGAAUGAGGGUUUGUGAUACACUUAAAUAGAGAGAUCCUUGUACAUGCACAAGGUCUCGAAAACAUAAGAAAACUUAAAGGAAAAGGCUCCACACGGUUUCAAAGUAAUAACACAACACUUAGACUAAAACAUAAUAUAAGAUAGAUGAUGAAGUCGGUCCAAGAUGCCUUAGGCCGAGUUGCAUCCAAGAUACAUCAACUAGGAAUGUGUAAGUGAACUUGAUACCUCAUUAAAAACCUUGAUUAGAAAACCCAGUGGGACAAAACUAAUCAAGGGAAAAAGAGUAUACCAAGCCACUUGCCUAGAUGAUGAUCAGCUUGAUGGUAAGAUCACAUGAAUGGUCAUGAGUGUGUCUUGGUAGCUCAAGCUUCUACCAAGACAGUCUUCUUGCUUCUUAGAGAUCUUCAGUAUGUUUCCAACGGCUUCUUUGAGUCUCCUUGUCAUUGCACGAGUGAUAGGACCUGUGGGAAUGGCUAGGACAGCUUCCUCUUCAGCUAGUGUAUCUUCAGUCUCUCCUUCUUCAUCUUUAUCAACUAGCUGGUCCAUGAUCAUAUCAUCCCCUCCCACUUGAAAAGGAUUUGUCCUCAAAUCUGGCUCAUCUGCAAUAAAAGGGAUCAAGUCAGUAACAUUGAAGCUAUUACUCACAUCAUACUUACCUUGCAAAUCCAGUUUGUAGGCAUUGUUGCUGAUCUUCCUUAUGACCUUAAAAGGUCCAUCAAUCCGCGGCAUCAGCUUGGACUUCCUUUCAUUGGGAAACCUCUCUUUCCUUAGGUGAAUCCAGACCUGAUCACCCACUUCAAAGACCAUCUCACGCCUUCCUUUGUUAGCAUGCUUAACAUACUGUUUGGUUGUUGCCUCAAUGUUGAGCCUAGCCUGCUCGUGGAGUUGUUUCACCAUCUCUGCCUUCUUUUUGCCAUCAAUGCUGAUCCUUUCACACUCAGGUAAAGGAAUUAAAUCCAAAGGAGAGUUGGGAUUGAACCCAUAAACAAUCUCAAAAGGAGAAAACUUAGAAGUAGAAUGCACAGCAUGAUUGUAUGCAAAUUCACAAUGAGGCAAAUAGUCUUCCCAUGAUUUCAAGUUUUUCUUUAUGAAUGCACGCAAGAGUGUUCCUAGAGUCCUAUUAACUACUUCAGUUUGUCCAUCAGUUUGUGGAUGACAAGUAGUAGAAAACAAGAGUUUAGUACCUAGCUUAGACCAAAGAGUCUUCCAAAAAUAACUAAGAAACUUAGUAUCUCUAUCAGAAACAAUAGUCUUAGGCAUGCCAUGAAUGCGCACAAUCUCUUUAAAGAACAAGUUAGCAAUAUGCAAUGCAUCAUCAGUUUUGUGACAAGCUAUGAAAUGUGCCAUCUUUGAGAACCUAUCCACAACCACAAAGAUAGAAUCCUUUCCAGUCCUAGUUCUAGGCAAGCCAACAAUGAAAUCCAUAGAUAUGUCAUUCCAAGGAUGAUAAGGUAUAGGGAGAGGAGUAUACAAACCGUGAGACUGAACCUUAGACUUGGCUUGUUUGCAAGUUGCACAUCUCUCACAUAGUUUCUCCACAUCUCUUUUCAUCCGAGGCCAAAAGAAAUGAUCCUGCAAAGUUUUAAGAGUCUUUGCAAUACCAAAGUGACCCAUGAGACUUCCUCCAUGAGAUUCCCUAACAAACAAGUCUCUCAAAGAACAGUUAGGCACACACAAUCGAUUAUCAUAGAAAAGAAAACCAUCAUGCCUAAAGUAGUGUCCCUCAGCAAAUUUCUCACAAGAGUUGUAAGCUUCUUUAAAAUCAGGAUCAUUCUCAUACAUUCCUUUAAUCUGCUCAAAUCCUAAUAGCUUAGCAUCAAGAGUGUUCAAGAGAACAUACCUUCUGGAUAGUGCAUCAGCAACUAUGUUUUCCUUACCUUGUUUAUACUUGAUGACAUAAGGAAAUGUCUCAAUGAACUCAACCCACCUAGCGUGUCUCUUGCUGAGUUUGUGCUGUCCUUUGAGGUAUUUGAGAGACUCAUGAUCUGUGUGUAUGACGAACUCUUUAGGCCAGAGGUAGUGUUGCCAAGUCUGCAAGGCUCUCACCAAGGCAUAUAGUUCUUUAUCAUAAGUUGCAUAGUUGAGGGUAGCUCCUCCAAGCUUCUCACUGAAGUAUGCAAUGGGUCUCUUCUCCUGCAUCAAUACAGCACCAAUUCCAAUUCCUGAAGCAUCACAUUCUAUUUCAAAAGUUUUAUUAAAAUCAGGAAGUAUAAGAAGAGGGGCAUUAGUAAGCUUCUCUUUUAGGCAUUGAAAGGCAAGUUCUUGUGCUUCUCCCCACUUGAAUCCGACUUCUUUCUUGAUUACUUCAGUCAAGGGAGAUGCUAUGGUGCUGAAGUCUUUCACAAAGCGCCUAUAGAAACCAGCAAGUCCAUGGAAGCUCCUCACUUCACUCACUGUCUUAGGAAUUGGCCAUUCUCGUAUAGCUCUUACUUUCUCCGGAUCAACUUUAACUCCAUCUGCACCCACAAUAAAGCCUAAAAAGACCAAGUGAUCCGUUCCAAAAGUACACUUCUUAAGGUUAGCAAAAAGAGAUUCCUUUCUAAGCACAUCAAGAACAGCUCUAAGAUGUUCUAUAUGAUCAUUAAAGCUCUUACUGUAUACAAGGAUGUCAUCAAAGUAUACCACAACAAAUAUGCCAAUGAAUGAUCUAAGAACAUGAUUCAUUAAUCUCAUGAAUGUGCUAGGUGCAUUGGUUAAUCCAAACGGCAUGACUAACCACUCAUAUAGACCAUGUUUAGUUUUGAAUGCAGUUUUCCAUUCAUCUCCUUCUUUCAUCCUAAUCUGAUGGUAUCCACUUUUCAAAUCAAUCUUAGAAAAUAUGCAAGAACCAUGCAAUUCAUCAAGCAUAUCAUCUAAUCUAGGAAUAGGAUGGCGAUACUUUACAGUGAUAUUGUUGAUGGCUCUGCAAUCAACACACAUGCGCCAGCUCCCAUCUUUCUUGGGCACAAGUAGCACUGGAACAGCACAAGGGCUCAUGCUCUCUCGGAUAUGCCCUUUCUCCAUCAGUUCCUCCACUUGCCUUUGUAGUUCUUUGGUCUCCACCGGAUUGGUUCUGUAUGCUGGCCUAUUGGGAAGUGUAGAACCGGGCACAAAAUCAAUUUGGUGCUCAAUCCCUCGUACUGGUGGUAGUCCAUUGGGACUAUCUUCUGGAAAUACAUCUUGAUAUUCCUGUAGAAGAUUGACAAGUUCACUCGGAUACUCCGGUGCAAUGUUAGUAGUAGUCAAGAGGGAUUCCUUAUAGAUAAACAAAAGAAUAGGAAGGUUAGAGCAGAGAGAUCUUUUAACAUCACCAGACUUGGCAUAGAAGUUUAGUUGCUUUGUUGAUUCAGCGGGUAGAUCUAUCUCUUUCUUCUUUUGUAGCUGGAGCUGAUCAACCUGAACUUCCUUAGGAGUCAUAGGCACAAGGACUGUCUUUCUCCCUUUAAACUCAAAGGUGUGCUUGUUGGCAUACCCAUCAUGUAUCACACGUCUAUCUGAUUGCCACGGCCUUCCAAGGAGAAUGUGUCCAGCUUCCAUAGGCAACACAUCACAAAGAAUCUCAUCUUCAUAUUUACCAAUGGCUAAGGGAACCAUAACCUGAGUAGCUACUCUCAUCUCGCCCUCUUCAUUGAGCCAUUGGAGCCUAUAUGGUUUAGGAUGCUUCUGGACCCUCAAACCCAACUUUUUAACCAUAGUCUCACUCGCAACGUUGACACAACUGCCUCCAUCCACAAUAAGACUACAGACCUUUCCUUGCACUAGACAUCUAGUAUAGAAGAGAUUCUCUCUUUGCUCCAUCUCCUCGGUCUUGCUUUGAAGACUCAAGGUUCUUCUAGCAACUAGCAAUCUUCCAGCAACCGGGUUGGCAACAUACUCCUCUUCUGAACUGUGAUCUUCUUCGGCUUCUGUCUCAUCAUCAGCAGAUUCAUAUUCUCCAUUGGCAUGAAGGAUCAUCACACGUUUGUUGGUACAUUCAUUAGCAUAGUGCCCACGCCCUUGGCACUUAAAACACUUCACAUCUCUUGCACGCGAGCUUGUAGCUUCCACUUUACCCUUAUCUUUGUUGUAGAUGCUACUAGACUUGGCUUCUUCUUUUGGCUGUGGCUUGCUCUCCUUUUGAUAGCUCGGUUUAUCUUCCUUAGAGGUCUGGUAUCUAUUGGAACCAUAGCUGCCACGCGCAUGACUUCUUCUCUUAACUUGCUGCUCCACCAAGAUAGCUUUGUGUAGCAUUUCCUCUAUCUCCAAGUAGUGUUGCAUCUCCACUCUAUCUUGUAUCUCACGGUUGAGUCCACCAAGGAACCGUGCCAUGGUAGCUUCACUGUCCUCAGAUACACAAGCUCUUAGCAUAAGCAACUCCAUCUCUUGAAAGUAUUCCUCUACAGACUUUGAUCCUUGUGUGAGCAGUCUCAGCUUUUGAUGAAGAUCACGGUGAUAAUGGCUUGGUACAAACCUCUUACGCAUCACAGCUUUCAUCUCUGCCCAUGUUUCAAUGGGAAAUUCACCAUUGCGCCUCUUGUUUGUAACCAACUGAUCCCACCAGCUCAAUGCAUAGUCAUUGAACUCGGUAGCAGCUACCUGAAUCUUCUUAGUCUCUGAGUAAUGCUGACAGUUGAAAACGAGUUCGAUCUUCUUCUCCCACUCAAGAUAGGCAUCUGGAUCAGCUUUACCAUGGAAAGGAGGAAUCUUAAGCUUUAACCCUGAUAGCUCAUUGCGUCUAUGCCUCCGGCCCUCAUGAUCACGUCGAGAUCUUCUACUGCUACGUCUUGAACCGGAGCUAUGGCUACUUCUCUCAUAGAAGUUAUCAGUCUCUUCUGAUCCAGCAUGCUCACGCUGACCUUGUCUGUUUCUUCUUGGCUCAUGUCUUGAACCAGAUGCUUGUCCUUGCCCAUCAUGCGGUCUCUGAUCAUACUUCUCUUCCAGUAACUUCACCAUCGCUUCUAUCACUGGUUUGGUGAUUGCUUCUUGCAGCAAUCUAUUCCUUCGCACAAAGGUUUCAUCAUCCUCCUCAGACCCCAUUGCUUCCUGAUACACGAAAAACUUGAACCAGUAAGUAGUUCAAAAGAAUUCAGAACUCAAGAUUCAAAUAAGGAAACAAAGUAUUCAAACAAAGCGGCAAAUGAAGAUACUUGAUCAACACGCGACGAUUUGAAUUCAAUUUUUUUCGAAAAUGGAACAAUAACAGAUCAGAUUCAACGGAUGAUGAAAUGAGAUAAUCAAAUCCUGAUCUAUGAUUCUAACAACAGAUCGAGUCACACAAUCACAAGAAACUUUCGGAUCAAUCAAAACGAUAACGUAAUCGACAAGAAUGUGAAAAGGUUUUUGCUCAAAACUUGAUCGAAAUUCUUAGAUCUAUCAGUAUGAGACACGAAACAAUUAGAUCUAGCAAUCCUGAUAAUGAAACAAGCAGAUCAAGUGAGAAUAAACACACAAGAACCGAUUGAUCAAGAAAAAUAUGAAUCGACAAAGAGUAGAUCUUUUAAGAAAUCGCAAAAGAGAAAUCGAAACUCCCCUUCCAGAGUGCUCUGAUACCACUUAAUGAGAUCCUAGGACCCUUCUCUGGAUGGUUUGGAUAAAUCCUUGCAUAAACGAAUCAAAGACUCAAGUUUAUCAAGGCUGUGGAUCGAAUGGUGACACAAGAGGCUGCGGAAAGGCUCCUUGAUACUCCUAGACUUAGAUCGGAUAUGACACACCUUUCUAAAGCCCUUGGGCGUUGGAUAUUACACACCAACAGACUGGAUACUACACACCAGACACUCUCUUAACUCGUGAAAGCAAGGGAGAAGAAAACACAAGGUUUAAACAAAAGAUAACUUAGAUUAGAAUGAGGGUUUGUGAUACACUUAAAUAGAGAGAUCCUUGUACAUGCACAAGGUCUCGAAAACAUAAGAAAACUUAAAGGAAAAGGCUCCACACGGUUUCAAAAUAAUAACACAACACUUAGACUAAAACAUAAUAUAAGAUAGAUGAUGAAGUCGGUCCAAGAUGCCUUAGGCCGAGUUGCAUCCAAGAUACAUCAACUAGGAAUGUGUAAGUGAACUUGAUACCUUAUUAAAAACCUUGAUUAGAAAACCCAGUGGGACAAAACUAAUCAAGGGAAAAAGAGUAUACCAAGCCACUUGCCUAGAUGAUGAUCAGCUUGAUGGUAAGAUCACAUGAAUGGUCAUGAGUGUGUCUUGGUAGCUCAAGCUUCUACCAAGACAGUCUUCUUGCUUCUUAGAGAUCUUCAGUAUGUUUCCAACGGCUUCUUUGAGUCUCCUUGUCAUUGCACGAGUGAUAGGACCUGUGGGAAUGGCUAGGACAGCUUCCUCUUCAGCUAGUGUAUCUUCAGUCUCUCCUUCUUCAUCUUUAUCAACUAGCUGGUCCAUGAUCAUAUCAGUUCCAGUGCUCCUUGUGCCAAAGAAAGAUGGGAGCUGGCGCAUGUGUGUUGAUUGUAGAGCAAUCAACAACAUAACAGUGAAGUAUCGCCACCCUAUUCCUAGAUUAGAUGAUAUGCUUGAUGAAUUGCAUGGUUCUUGCAUCUUUUCUAAGAUAGACUUGAAAAGUGGAUAUCAUCAGAUUAGGAUGAAAGAAGGAGAUGAGUGGAAAACUGCAUUUAAAACUAAACAUGGCUUGUAUGAAUGGUUAGUUAUGCCAUUUGGAUUAACCAAUGCGCCUAGUACAUUCAUGAGAUUGAUGAAUCAUAUUCUUAGGUCUUUCAUAGGCAUCUUUGUUGUUGUGUACUUUGAUGAUAUCUUAGUUUACAGCAAAUGCUUAGAAGAUCAUAUAGAACAUCUUAGGGCUGUUUUGGAUGUUUUGAGAAAGGAAAAGCUAUAUGCCAAUCUAAAGAAGUGCACUUUUUGCACAGAUAACUUGGUCUUUCUAGGUUUUGUUGUAAGUGCAGAUGGUGUAAAAGUGGAUCAGGAAAAGAUCAAAGCAAUACAAGAGUGGCCGAGUCCAACUACAGUGGGAGAAGUAAGGAGUUUUCAUGGACUGGCAGGUUUUUAUAGGCGUUUUGUGAAGGAUUUCAGCACUCUAGCAGCUCCCCUAACUGAGAUAAUCAAGAAGGAUGUAGGAUUCAAGUGGGGAGGAGCUCAGGAAGCCGCAUUCCAACUCCUUAAAGAGAAGCUUACUCAAUCUCCUCUUCUCAUACUUCCUGAUUUUUCUAAAACAUUUGAAAUAGAAUGUGAUGCCUCAGGAAUUGGAAUUGGUGCUGUGUUGAUGCAGGAUAAAAGACCUAUUGCUUACUUUAGUGAGAAACUCAGUGGAGCUACUCUCAACUAUGCCACUUAUGACAAAGAACUCUACGCCUUGGUGAGAGCUCUACAGACUUGGCAGCACUAUCUCUGGCCAAAGGAGUUUGUCAUUCACACCGACCAUGAGUCUCUCAAGUAUCUUAAAGGACAAAGUAAGCUCAGCAAGAGACAUGCUAGAUGGGUAGAAUUCAUUGAAACCUUCCCGUAUGUGAUCAAAUACAAACAAGGUAAGGAGAAUAUAGUUGCUGAUGCACUAUCCCGAAGGUAUGUCCUCUUAACUACUCUUGAUGCUAAGUUGCUAGGCUUUGAGCAGAUUAAAGAAAUGUAUGAAUCUGAUCCUGACUUUCAAGAAGCUUAUAAAUCAUGUGCUAAGUAUGCUUUAGGACAUUAUUUUAGGCAUGAUGGAUUCUUAUUCUAUGACAAUCGUUUAUGUGUGCCUAAUUGCUCUUUGAGAGAUCUAUUUGUCAGAGAAUCCCAUGGAGGAAGCUUGAUGGGUCAUUUUGGUAUAGCAAAAACCCUUAAAGUUUUGCAGGAUCACUUCUAUUGGCCGCAUAUGAAAAGAGAUGUGGAGAGAAUCUGUGGAAGGUGCACAACUUGCAAGCUUGCAAAGUCUAAAGUUCAACCUCACGGUUUGUAUACUCCUUUGCCUAUUCCUACUCAUCCUUGGAAUGAUAUAUCUAUGGAUUUUGUUAUGGGUUUACCUAGAACUAGGACUGGAAAGGAUUCUAUCUUUGUGGUUGUUGAUAGAUUCUCUAAAAUGGCACAUUUCAUAGCUUGCAAUAAGACUGAUGAUGCAUUACAUGUAGCUAAUUUGUUCUUUAAAGAAGUGGUACGUUUGCAUGGAAUGCCUAGGACUAUAGUUUCAGAUAGAGAUACUAAAUUCCUUAGCUACUUUUGGAAAACAUUGUGGUCUAAACUAGGAACUAAGCUAUUGUUUUCUACUACUUGUCAUCCACAAACUGAUGGGCAGACUGAAGUAGUUAAUAGAACCUUAGGUACUCUCCUGCGUGCAUUCAUCAAAAAGAACUUGAAAUCAUGGGAAGAUUACUUGCCUCAUUGUGAAUUUGCAUACAAUCAUGCUAUGCAUUCUGCUUCUAAGUUUUCUCCUUUUGAAAUUGUUUAUGGGUUCAAUCCCAUCUCACCUUUGGAUCUAAUACCUUUACCUGAGUGUGAAAGGGUUAGUAUGGAUGGGAAAAAGAAAGCUGAGAUGGUUCAGCAAUAAUACCUUUACCUGAGUGUGAAAGGGUUAGUAUGGAUGGGAAAAAGAAAGCUGAGAUAGUUCAGCAGAUUCAUGAGCAAGCUAAGCGCAAUCUAGAAGAGAAAACUAAGCAAUACGCCAAACAAGCCAAUAAGAGAAGGCGUGAGAUGAUCUUUGAAGUUGGAGAUCAAGUAUGGGUUCACUUGAGGAAAGAAAGGUUUCCAAAAGAGAGGAAGUCUAAGCUAAUGCCGAGGAUUGAUGGCCCUUUUGAAGUCACCAAGAGGAUCAAUGACAAUGCCUACAAACUUGAUCUGCAAGGUAAGUACGACAUAAGUGAUAGCUUCAAUGUUACUGACUUGAUCCCUUUUGUUGCAGAUGAGCCAGAUUUGAGGACAAAUCCUUUUCAAGAGGGAGGGGAUGAUGUGAUCAUGGACCAACUAGCUAAUGGAGAUGAUGAGGAUCUGGUUAAGCCGACUGAUGGAGAUGAUCUAGCCUUGCCAAAAGGACCUAUGACUCGAUCAAGAUCAAGGAAGCUCACGCAAGUCAUUGGUGGAUUGGUUAAGAGGUCAUGGAAGCAAGAGGAAUGUCUUGGUAGAAGCUUGAUCAACCAAGACACACUUAUCACCAUUCAAGCUACUUCACCAUCAAGCUGAUCAUCAACUAAGUAAGCAAUCUAUGUGUGCUCUUUUUCCCUAUCUUUGGUUUUGUCCCAAUGGGUUUUCCAAAGAUAGGUUUUUAACGAGGCCAUAGAUUUGCUUCUCAAAUCUCUUAGUUGAUGAUCUCGAUCCAACCUUAUCCCGGAUCAACCUUAUGUUAUAUUAUGUCUUUCAUUUCAUGUUUUCAAACUUGUCUUUUGUUUCUAUUUUCAAGAGAGCGUGUGUCUUUACUCUCUUGAUAGUUUUCGAGAAGCUUGGAGUCUGUUCCAACUUCUCUUAUAUAAGUGUACUUUGAACCCCUUAUCAAUAAUCAAUUAUCUUUUAUCAAAAACCUUUUCUUUGUUCUCUCUACUGCUUGUCCGCGAGUUGUUGAGUGUUCUUGUUGGUGUGUAGUAUCCAACAACCCAAGAGUGUCUAUCUCGGUGUGUCAUAUCCGAUCUAGUCACUUAGGAGUAUCAAGGAGCCUUUCCGCAGCCUCUUGUGUCACCAUUCGAUCCACAACCUUGUAGAGCUUGAGUCUUUGAUUCGUUCUAGCAAGGAUCUAUCCCAUUCUAUCCAGAGAAGCAAUCUAGGGACGUAUUACAAUCAAACCAGGAUGAAUCACUUUGUAAGAAGCUUUAUUUGGAUACAUAAAGUGUUGGAGAAUCACCAGGAAGUUGAAUAAAUCUCAUAGGAGUUGGGAUUAAGAAGUUAUCCCACUUUCUAAUCAGCUGAUUCCAGUUUCCCAGUUUGGGAAUAGGACAGCUUCUCCGUCGUUCCAAUCAAACCAGGAUGAAUCACUUUGUAAGAANNNNNNNNNNNNNNNNNNNNNNNNNNNNNNNNNNNNNNNNNNNNNNNNNNNNNNNNNNNNNNNNNNNNNNNNNNNNNNNNNNNNNNNNNNNNNNNNNNNNNNNNNNNNNNNNNNNNNNNNNNNNNNNNNNNNNNNNNNNNNNNNNNNNNNNNNNNNNNNNNNNNNNNNNNNNNNNNNNNNNNNNNNNNNNNNNNNNNNNNNNNNNNNNNNNNNNNNNNNNNNNNNNNNNNNNNNNNNNNNNNNNNNNNNNNNNNNNNNNNNNNNNNNNNNNNNNNNNNNNNNNNNNNNNNNNNNNNNNNNNNNNNNNNNNNNNNNNNNNNNNNNNNNNNNNNNNNNNNNNNNNNNNNNNNNNNNNNNNNNNNNNNNNNNNNNNNNNNNNNNNNNNNNNNNNNNNNNNNNNNNNNNNNNNNNNNNNNNNNNNNNNNNNNNNNNNNNNNNNNNNNNNNNNNNNNNNNNNNNNNNNNNNNNNNNNNNNNNNNNNNNNNNNNNNNNNNNNNNNNNNNNNNNNNNNNNNNNNNNNNNNNNNNNNNNNNNNNNNNNNNNNNNNNNNNNNNNNNNNNNNNNNNNNNNNNNNNNNNNNNNNNNNNNNNNNNNNNNNNNNNNNNNNNNNNNNNNNNNNNNNNNNNNNNNNNNNNNNNNNNNNNNNNNNNNNNNNNNNNNNNNNNNNNNNNNNNNNNNNNNNNNNNNNNNNNNNNNNNNNNNNNNNNNNNNNNNNNNNNNNNNNNNNNNNNNNNNNNNNNNNNNNNNNNNNNNNNNNNNNNNNNNNNNNNNNNNNNNNNNNNNNNNNNNNNNNNNNNNNNNNNNNNNNNNNNNNNNNNNNNNNNNNNNNNNNNNNNNNNNNNNNNNNNNNNNNNNNNNNNNNNNNNNNNNNNNNNNNNNNNNNNNNNNNNNNNNNNNNNNNNNNNNNNNNNNNNNNNNNNNNNNNNNNNNNNNNNNNNNNNNNNNNNNNNNNNNNNNNNNNNNNNNNNNNNNNNNNNNNNNNNNNNNNNNNNNNNNNNNNNNNNNNNNNNNNNNNNNNNNNNNNNNNNNNNNNNNNNNNNNNNNNNNNNNNNNNNNNNNNNNNNNNNNNNNNNNNNNNNNNNNNNNNNNNNNNNNNNNNNNNNNNNNNNNNNNNNNNNNNNNNNNNNNNNNNNNNNNNNNNNNNNNNNNNNNNNNNNNNNNNNNNNNNNNNNNNNNNNNNNNNNNNNNNNNNNNNNNNNNNNNNNNNNNNNNNNNNNNNNNNNNNNNNNNNNNNNNNNNNNNNNNNNNNNNNNNNNNNNNNNNNNNNNNNNNNNNNNNNNNNNNNNNNNNNNNNNNNNNNNNNNNNNNNNNNNNNNNNNNNNNNNNNNNNNNNNNNNNNNNNNNNNNNNNNNNNNNNNNNNNNNNNNNNNNNNNNNNNNNNNNNNNNNNNNNNNNNNNNNNNNNNNNNNNNNNNNNNNNNNNNNNNNNNNNNNNNNNNNNNNNNNNNNNNNNNNNNNCACCAGGAAGUUGAAUAAAUCUCAUAGGAGUUGGGAUGAAGAAGUUAUCUCACUUUCUAAUCAGGUGAUUCCAGUUUCCCAGUUUGGGAAUAGGACAGCUUCUUCGUCAAUCCAAUCAAACCAGGAUGAAUCACUUUGUAAGAAGCUUGAUUUUGAUACAUAAAAUGGUGGGGAAACACCAGGAAGUUGAAUAAAUCUCAUAGGAGUUGGGAUGAAGAAGUUAUCCCACUUUCUAAUCAGGUGAUUCCAGUUUCCUAGUUUGGGAAUAGGACAGCUUCUUUGUCGUUCCAAUCAAACCAGGAUGAAUCACUUUGUAAGAAGCUUGAUUUGGAUACAUAAAGUGUUGGGGAAACACCAGGAAG
rnacentral:lncRNA from 1 species